rnacentral:lncRNA from 1 species
UUUUAUAAUGUAUUUUAAAAGGUUUUACAACGUAUUUAUAAGGUAUUUAUAAGAUAUUAUAAGAUUUUAUAAGCUAUUUUAUAAGGUUUUACAAGUUAUAAGGUUUUACAAGUUUUUUAUAAGGUUUUACAAGUUAUAAAUACCUUAUAAAACCUUAUAAGUACCUUGUAAAACCUUUUAAAAUACAUUGUAAAACCUUACAAAACACUUGUAAAUACUCAGUAAAACCUUUAAAAUACCUUCUAAAUUUUUCCCGCCAAAAAAAUUGCGGAAUCACUUUUCCCGAAAAAAAAAAUUUUGGCGGGAAUAUUGCGGGAUCACUUUUCCCGCCAAAAAUUUGCGGGACUACUUUCCCCGCCAAAAAAUAUUUUGUAUUUUGUGGACCUAAUUUUGUUUCAAAUAAGGGUAAAAUGGUCAUUAAAAAUUAAAAGAGGGCAAACUUAAAAAUGGACUCUCAAAGGAUGCAUUUUUGAAAAGGGGUAUUGAAAAAGGAGCAUUUUUAACCAUUUCUCAAAAGUAAAACUGUGGAAUAAAUUUUACUGUUAUAAUGAAUGGUAACCAAACAAUAAUAAUAAUAUCUUUAAGAAUAUAUUAAAUAGUAUAUAAAUCAAAUUUUAAUAAAAGAUACUAAUAGUUUUUAUAUAUAAUUAAUUAAUAGUUAAUUUGAAACUAAAAUUUGUAAACUAAAAUUAUAUAUAUAUAUCAUGUUAAAUAAUAAUAGUUAAUAUUAGCAUAAAAUAAAAUUAUAAGAGUAAUUUAAAAGAUAUUAUUUUUUUACAAUAUAAUCAUGUUUAAAUUUAUUUUACUAUUUAUAUUAUUUUCAAAUAAAACAUUAAGAGUAAUUCAGCAUGAAAUUUUUAUCAAAAAUAUAGUUCUGUUAAUAUAUUGUGAAUAUAUAGAAAUUAUUAUAUAUUAAAAUAGAAAUAUUAUUGAUAAACAUUAUUUUUUAUUUAUUUUAAAUAAAAAAAAAAAAACAAAUUUUGUUAUUUGUUCUUUUUUUGUUCUAUUUUGUUCCUUACAAAUUUUGGAGAGAAACAUUUUUGUUUUAUUGUUCUUCAUUUGUUGAGGAAUGUAGAGGAAUGAUGUGGAAAAAACAUUACCUGUAAUAGAUUGAAGAACAAAAAGGAAUAUCACAUUCAGGAAGAAAAACAAUAAGCCACUCGACCAACAUGGUCGAGUAACCCAGCUGCAACAUUCUCCCCAGUAUUCGACCAACUACUCAACUCUGUUGGUCAAGUAUCCUCUGUCGCCUCACUUCUCAACCAUUCGACCAACACUGCUCAGAACCACACGACCUUGAACUCGACAGCACUACUCGACCCGAUACUCGACCAACAUGGUCGAGUAUCCGCAGCCACCUCAUUCUUCCCAGACUCGACCAUGCCUCCUCAGAAGCACUCGACAAUGUGGUCUAGUAUAAUCAGCCAAGACAUCAUCCCAGCACUCGACCAUGUAAUAUCCACCUAGUACACUCCACCAUUCUCAUCCACAUACUUAUUUCGCAAGAGAUAAGGUAAAGUACACUCCCAUUAUCUCUCUCAUUUUCGUCUUCAACCUCACUCUCUCUCCCUCAUUCUCGAAAUCAUCUCCAUCUUUUAUCUCCCUAAUCUUUUUCACUCACACUCUCUAAUCGUUUCUUACGCUCUCAAGAACUCACGCGACCAUCACUCUCAAUCCGAUUUUCUCUCCAUUUCAUCAUCAACCCACCUCAAACUCCACCUUAAACACACUCCAUCAAAUCCACCAUCUCUCUCAAAAGCGAUUUCCACCACCACUCUACCACCACUAAUUUCACCGUUUUCUCUUCACCGCUCUCCCUAAAAAUUCCGAUUUCUUCAUCAUCUUCAUCCUAAUUUCCCUCUUAUCUCUCUCCCUAAACUCUCUCUCUUUUCGAAUUACUUCACUCUCUCUACAACUCGGAAAAAGAAGGUUUACUCGAGUAACUUGAAAGGAGAGACACUCGUCCAAAAAGGUGAAACACUCGAUAGUGACAGAGAAUAUAUACUCGACCAGACCAAGCAGAUACUCGACCAAACUGGUUUACUCCCGCUUUCAUAUCUUUCCUUGAAACUAAGCUAUUAACGUUUCGCUUUGAGUUCUCAAUUUUCUCAGGUUUACUAUGAGCAACUACAAUUGAGAUUCUUCUAUGGAUGCUGAUUAUAAUGUUGAUGAAGCUGAGUCAUGGUCUACUAGACCAGAGAGAGAGGAACAAGCUUAUGAAAGUUUUAGAGCUGAUAUGGAGCGAGCUGUAGCUCGCAGUCAGAGAUGAGUUGGAUUAUCAAGAGGAAAGCGGGCAAUGACAUAACAGUAUGAGUUAGUUGAUGAGGACAUAGAAGGCGAGUAUGUGCCAGAGCAAUCACAAAGAGCUACAAAGCAGUUGAACAAGCCUCAUGAGCUCAGAUCAUGUACUCGACUUAGCAGCUUCAGAGUCUUCUCAAAUUCGCACUCAACUAGACAUCUGAGCACAAGGAAGAGAAGAGGAUGAAGCAGACACUCGACCUACCACUCCACCUAGACACUCGACCUACCACUCCACAUAGCAAUAAUUCGUAAAGGCGCCAGCUUUACUCGACCACUUCUACUCGAUCAUAUGGGUCGAGUGUCUCUUUAAACCGCUUUAAAAUUUUGUCGUUUUGUGUUUUAGGGUUUCCUACGAUUUACUAUAGUCUUUUCUUCAUAUUUUUAAUCCAAAUUACUCUUAAUCUAUUCAAUAUUUGCUUUUGAUUUCUUCCUUAAAGUUGUUUAUCUUGUUGAGAUCUUUAAGUUAUGAAGUUUUUAGAGAAUUCUGGGUUUGUGUUCUUGUUCAUGAAUUUUGAGUAGUGAUUAGGGUUCUUAAGGAUGGGUUAGAGUAGUCUAGGAUCCUUAAUCUGUCAUGUGGUUAAGUUUGAUUGGUAGAUCCCUUCUAGAUUAGUUGUUCUUAAUUCUAAUUGCUUUCUAAUCAACUGGAAUUAGAACACAAGCAUUUCCUCACCCACAAGGUGUUUGAUGAAAUGCCUUAACCACUAAUUCUUGAGAUUCGUGUCUCUGUACCUAGGUGUUAGUUUCAGAGAGCGUUUUGGCUUUAACUUGUUGAUGCGAAAUGCCUUCUAGGUUAGCUUUCGUCAAUGGUGAUUGAGUCUUUAACUGGCUUAGCUUGAGGAUCUCUAUUUCGGUAGCACUUUGAUUUGGAGCUGAACUUGUUGUCUAGGGAUAGUUUGUUGAGCAUGUUAAGAAUAAAUAAGUAUACUGAUAGUGGAUCUCCUUGCCGUAAACCACAUUCAGGUAAAAUCAACCCUCUAGGCUGUCCACUAAGUAGGACCCUAUAUUGGACUGAUUUUAUACACCACAUCAUCCACGUUAUCCAUUUUUUGCAAAAACCUAUUUUACGCAACAUGUUCUCUAUGAAAUCCCAUUCUAUCCGAUCAUAAGCAUUACUCAUAUCUGUUUUGAUGGCCAUAAAUUUUCUUUUGCAAGACGUAUUUGUUCGGAGGGCAUGAGCAUCUCUUGCGCUAUAAGAAUGUUAUCUGAGACCAAUCUACCUUCGACAAAAGCCGAUUGUGCCGAUUGAGUUCUCACUUUUUUCUCUGUUGCUAGAGCUGUUGAAUAAUCAUUUAUUUGCUCCGUAAUAGUGAUUUUAACCUCCUUUAACGAAUCAUCAAAAUCUUGACCAAGAUUUCCGACCACUAGACCAAGAUUUGUUAUAACCAAGAGCUUGGCCACCUUUUGCUAUAACCUAAUAUAGACCAAAAACUGACUUACGUUGCAUCUGUGUCUCUCUUAACUUCAAGAAACGCCAAUGAGAUACCCACCAUCAAACCCAUUUCAAGAUAAUCGCAAUUACAUCCCAACAAAAGACUUCAGACCCCUCAGAUGCCUCAUAUAUGGACUUAUUUGCUUCUACCCUGAAAACUUUACCCUUCCUUGCUUUUCUCCAUAACUCAAAAUGUCUCAAUUUUUUCUUAAACCAAUAAAACAUCAACACAGAAAGCAGACGAACCCCAUGUACCUCUACCAACGUGAUCAAACCACCAUUCGCCACCAAUUUAAGCCCUCCUCGAAAAACUCGGAUACCCAUCCCCUCGCAUCCAUACUUCAACUUCUGAAAUAAGAUAAACCCCCAUCGAAUCCAUCGUCUAAGUGCCUCUGUUACCAACGAAACCAAAAAAAACAACCGAACUGUGGAUGUAGGAUUCACACUCGAUUAUCUUUAAGUAUUUUUGUGGAGAAAAACUCUUGUUAAAUCAGGAAAUAAAUAUGAGAAUUUGAAAAGGAAAACAACCAAGAAAAGGAGUAAAGAAAUUUGACGAAAGAUGAAGUGCAAAAUGCCUUGCGAAAAAUUGUAAAGAGAGAAAAAUGUAUUGUAUUGUUUAGAAGUAAUCAGUAAUGAGAUUCGUCCUCCUCAAACACAUGCGUUUGAGGUUGUUUUUAUAGAGAAAACAUGAUCAAUGCGGUCAUUUACUGCUCAUAAUCGCGUUGAUCCGCAUUAAUCAUGUAAGUUACAUUUUGACCGAAACGGCUUGAAUUUGAACUAUCUUAGGCUUCGCGUGGAUCUUACGAACUCUUUCUUGUUGACUCCGAACUCCCGCGUCUUGACGCUGCCGCGAGCCUCGAACAAUAUUCUCCUCGCUUCGGCCUUUCUCUAUGCGAACUGUAUGUUGAAUAAGAGCGAACUCCGUACUGGUAAAGAUCAAACUCUUUUAGUAAACUGAAUCGAACUCCCGACUGGUUAAGCUCGAUCUCAUAACAAAAUAUCAUUAAUUCCAAGAGGAUUAUUAUGAAAUAAUGACGUGGACAGAUCCAAGUGGAUCCUACCAAAAAAUGUGUGGGAUCCGACCCCAACAUUUAGUCCCCCAGUAAUUAAUGACUCAAGAUCUUUAAUAUUCCGGAAUUAUUCUAUGUUUUACGUUAUUACGCUGAUCUCGGAUAAUCAAAUGAUUUGAUAUCCCUGACAACCGUCAUCAUUAAUUUUCUAUUUUUAUAUUAAUACUGCGGGGAAAACUGUCCUACUUCCCAAUAUUCUCGAGGCGCUUUUCAUCAUACUUUAGGGUUCUAAGAGGUAACAUUACUUUUCCAUCUUAUCUUCUUUACCUAGUGAACUUUCAUUCCUUUUACAGAAGUCAUUAUCUCUUUUCGGUAAAAAAUCCCUUUCGUAAAAUGUCGAACCUUUCUUCUGAAUUUCGCGAAUAUGAGGCUGACGAUAUCAAAGCUCUCAUGGGUGAAGGAACCGAACCUCAAAUCCCAACCGGAGACGGGUUUGAUCUUCACCCCCAGAGUGAAUCGACUGUCGAUUCUCUUAACGAUCUUCGUAGAUUGUGUCACAUCCCCCCUGAAGUAGAGAUGGUAGUCCCGGAGCCCUUCGAGUCUCCGGAGUCAGGGCGAGAAGGUUACUGCUGCGCCUAUAAAAUUUAUUUCAAAGGGUGCGGCUUAUUCUUUCCGCUUCCUGAGAUACUUCUCGUUUACCUCAACCAUCUAGGAAUUGCUUUUUCUCAGAUGUCGCCCAACAUGCUCCGGUAUCUUUUGUGUACCUUCACUGUUGCGGCGGAGGCGGGCUACUCAUUGGGACUUUGCGAACUCUUGGAACUUUUCCAAGCUCGCGAAUCCCGAACUUCUGGGUAUUAUGCCCUUUAUCCGAUCGCGGAUCGGAAUCUUAUUGACGGCCUGCCUUUAAAGGACAACGCUUGGAAGAAGUUUUGGUUCUUCUUCCGCAUAAAUAAUUUUUCUAUUCAGAGUUCUUCCGAACUCCUUCGAACUCACUGGUCAUCGAAUUUGGCUAGAAAUUAGGACUUAACUGAAUAAAUUUCCUAUGUUAUUUCAAACUGCGUUUCAACAUUUACUUGUUUCCAUGCAGGUUCCCAGAUUCGGCCAGUUCCAUCCGUUGAUUUUCUUAACUUCUACAAGGCUGUCUUGGAGAAGCCAGUUAAUUGGAAUUCUUUUACUUUAGAAAGAAUCCACGGUGCCGGAUUUUCUGUCAGAAUGAGCCUAACUCACCCCGUCGCCCUUCCUCCUGCCGAGAUUGAUCUCUCGAGUCUAAAUGCCCGAGAUAGGAGAAAGAUCAAGGAGACAAACAAAAAGAUUAAAGACCAGAUUUCUCUGGUCGGGAAAAACAAGAAAAACGCAACCUCCACCGGGGACGACAAAGUCUACCGGAAAACUCUCCUAGUUGACGAUGGAUCUCUUGAAGGUUCAAAGUCAAUGGCGGUUGCUGUGAACAACGCUCCUUCCCCCAUCCCAACAACAGACAAUGUGGUCGCUGCCACUGCCGAGGAAGAAGGCCUUACAGGUGAUUCUUCUCUCAUGAGAAAGAGGAAGGCUGAGGAACUUGAACCCCCGCUCCAAGGACGCCCCAAGAACACAAGGAAGGGCAGAGCCGCUUCUUCGAAUCUGUCAAUUUCUGAACCUGCUGAAGCUCAGGAUGUAAAUCCUGAUUCAGGAAUUGUUUUAAAGGAACCGCUGGGUUCAGGGAUGUUACCCCCUAGACGUCCCCGAGGCAAUACCUCUAGGGUUUGAUCGUCUCCGAGCUCAGGACUUGUUGCCAGAGCUUCAUCCCAAUCAGGUAACCUUUAAUUGUCAUACUGUUACUUGAGAUUAAUCGACCCUCUUUUUUUUUAGAAGCUCAAUCCUCACAUAACUAUCUUUAUUCUAGAUAAAGAGAAGAUUGGGAAUAUGUUUAGGUGCUUCCACACCCGCUUUGGGAAGAAACUCCCGUCCUUUGAGUGGUGGAAGCCUGAUAUCAAAAAGAUGUAUAUCAGUCAUUCAUUCUACUCCUCCCAGGUUUGACUAUUUGCAUCCUUGAACAACCAAAUUUUAAAAAAAUUUCUUUUAUUAAGGCAUCCUUUUUCAUUAGGCAACUCUGGACGUGAAUGGCAUCAUCAACUAUUACGAAGAGGAGCUUGCCAAAGUUUCCAAGAAAGCUGCUGUUGCUGAAGGAGAGAUCGAGAAACUGCAAUCUUCCAGUCAGCUUGUGCAGGAGACUGCUGGCCUUGAUUCGGCUCGCCAGGAGAAAAUCGAACAACUCGAGAAAUCUGGCGAGGAGACAAGGAAGAUUCUAAUCGAAACUAAGCAAAGGCUAGAGACUGCCCUUGCUGACCAUAACCUCGCAAAGGGCGAGAUUGAGCUUCUGAGAUCACAGCUUGACAGGGUCAAAACAGCUGCUGAGGAGCUCAAACGCAAAAAUGAAUCUCUUUCCGAAUUCAAAGAUCGAGAUGUUCGCAAAAUAUCUCACGAUGCUCGGAAAGAGGUUAAAGGAGCUGGGCAAAAGUUUCUUCUUGCUGUGCAGGAAUUUAUCACUGCAGAUAAAGCUUGGAACAAACUUAACUCCGAGCGUGAUGAGAUGAAGAGUAAUCUCGAUCUGAUCAAGGAGAUAGAGGACGGAAAGGUCAACUUAGCUGAGCUCGCUGAGACUGAAGCUAAGCUAGCUACUGCUCCUCAGCCAUAUUUGAAUUUGCAGUAGUUUGUUUCUGAGUUCGCUGAUUCCCCUCUAUUGACUGAGCCAAAUAUUGGUUUGUCUCUGGACGAGAUGAUGUUAACAGGUUCUCCUCGCGCUCAUUUUAAUGAGUUCGGAACCAAUGUUGACAGAAUCUCCUCGGGACGAGCUCAGGGGUUCUCUGGUCAUGAUCCUGCCAUCUCCUCGAUUAUGGGAGACGGCCUUGAAUCGAAGAGCGAACCUCCUCAAGAUGCUAGCUCGCUUAACCCUGAGGUGGUUCCAACAACUCAGAACGCUGACGUCGGGAGUGCUCUUGUCUCAAAUCAAGCAGGAGAUGAAGGCGGUUCGCCUAUGAUUGAAUGAUGGUGAUUGCAUUCACCUUUUAUUGGGAUUGUCCCUUUAAUUUUAAGACAUGAAAUUAGCUGUGUUGGCCAUGGGGCCGUUUAUUUCUCCUUCGAGUUUUCUGCCCAAGGGGGCUUUUGUUAUUGUUUUGAAUAAUUUGCCCAAGAGGGUUCUUAAUUAAAAUUUCUUUAGAAAGAAAUAUUUAAUCUUGGUGGAAACCAUCGAUUUUACCUGGAGGGUUUGCAAAGUCCUCCUAAUCGAAGUGGUUUAGGAUUAUAGGAGAGAUAGGCUGAUCAGACCUACUUGCUUUUUUUAAAGAAAAAACAUUGGAAUUUUUCCUCGGUCUCUCGAUUGCGAGGUUAGAGCUCGGCUUACAAGAACACUUUGCAAUACUUCAAAUGUGUUCGAUUAGGGAAAUCUCUAGUGAGAACUGUUUGCUUUUCCUAAGAGAAAAAAAAGGUGUGAUACCAUUUAUUGAUAGUCUUCUAAUUUUGAGUUCGAAAUUAAGUUCGCCUACUAGGUGUUAAGUGAUACUUGAAUAACCUAUAUUUCGUAGGUCUUGUUUGUGCAUGUACACGAAAAUCGAGAGGUCAUAACAGUCAGAUCAAUAGAUUGACGUUUAACUUUCUUUUUCAAUAAAUACUCGAGUGAGUGCCCUUACAUAUUUUUUCUAUAUAAGGAGAGUUGGAUUUUGGAAAUUUUCCAAUAGAUACUCUUUUAUAAGGAACUUUGCAGUUCUUCUUUUUUGGAUCUACGAUGACAUCUCCCCAAGGCGAACCUUGUGGUCCUAAUUCGCCACGACUCCCUUCAAGCGAAUCUCUUUUCCCGACGGGGGAUGGAUUCACUCCACAAGGGGUGGCUAUUCCUUGUUUUCUUUCUUCCCUGUCUAGGGAAGAACAGAUCGAGUGCCAUGAAUUCAUGGAGCAGGUUUGAACCAAAUACCAAUGGUUUCAAAGUCUUACUUGAUAGAUUCGUAAUGUAUCUGUUCUUUUGCAGAUCACGGAAAGAUACGUUUUCUUCUGCUCCGAAAGGCAACGCCUCGGAAUGAAACGCCGUAACCUCGAGGACCGGAUUGCUAGAACAGAAAGGAAGAUCCGACAUUUGGAGUCGGACGUUCACAACUGGGAGAGGAGGGGAUUUGAUUCUAUCGCCCGCAUUCCCGGCUGUCUUCGAGAACACAUCAGGUUCCUGAAGAAGCAUUGGGAUAUCUACCAAAGGAGCCUCGAACCCGACGAACGUGAAGACGGUUCGUCAGGAGACGAAGUUCCUUCUGCGAACCCCCCUCCUUCUUAGUUUUUUUUUAUAUUAUUAUGUAACAUACUAUUGGGCUAGAGGCCCUGUAACAUUAAUUAUAUUUCCCUUUUCGCCUUAAAUUUGCCGAUUUACUCAAAUCUUAUUUAAUGCGUUUAUCUAGGGAAUAUAAUUAGUAAUUAACUCGAUUACAUUUUCCACGAAAGUAGUAAUUUCAGAUUUGGGAAAUCGUCAAUUAACCCUCUUAAAUGUGAUUGAGUAUUUUUCGAAUAUAAAGCAGAUUUAGAUCGUUAUUGAAUUUAAUCAACAAUAAUUCUACAAAAAUGUUUGAGGAAGGUAAUUUCUCAGAGAAUCCCUCCGACUCGAUUAAAAAGAUAAGUGAUGAUCUUCCGGAAACGCCAGACAUCGAUCUUGUAAAAACGGAAGCCAACGGCGAACCAGAAGAGUCACGCCCAUUGGGGUGGGGAACCAGCAUUCAGGUUCCAAAUGUGUUAAUUGAGAGAUUAUCAGCUCAAGAUCGUGUCAAGGCCAAGGAGUUUAUUACCAAGGUAUUAUUAAGCCUACUAACCUAACUCCUUUCGUUGUCUUGCUAAACGAAGCGUUUCAUUUUCUUCAGCUUGUCAUACGGCACGACGAGCUCGGAAAUGAGAGAAAAGAGAUUAGGCAAAGGAUAAUGGAACUAGACGAAGCGUCACCUUGAUAUUGCUCGCGAGCUUCAUCNNNNNNNNNNNNNNNNNNNNNNNNNNNNNNNNNNNNNNNNNNNNNNNNNNNNNNNNNNNNNNNNNNNNNNNNNNNNNNNNNNNNNNNNNNNNNNNNNNNNGCUUCACCAAAUCCACGACUGUUUUAACAGACACAUCUUCCAGAACAUCGUCCUCCGCACUACCAACCUGCAACACAUACACAAAAACGCAUAAACAAGCUACCCAAACAUUACAUCAAAUAUAAACUCACUACAUACCAUAUCAUUUACCUUUUCUUCUUUCUUCUUCUUCUUCUUCUUUUGUACAUCUCUUUCAUAAGAUUCACCACCCUCACGUUUUUCCACCAAAUCACUUACAUUUCUUUCUUUCUUCUUCUUCUUCUUCUUCUUUUCUGCAUCUCCUUCACCAGAUUCAACACCCUCACUGUUGAUCACAUCCUUGACAUUGUGGACUUUCUGCCUCUUUACGGGAGAUUCAGAGUCACUCGCUGCAUUAGAAUUUACAUUUUUCUUCUUCUUCUCAGUCUUCUUCACAUCCCAAUAACCUUUAACAAACUUAUCCUCAUGUAUGUCUCGGAUCAAAUUAUCAAGUGCUGGGUCCUCUUCUUCAUCUGGCCACGUAUGAAAUAGCUCUCUGACAUCAUCCUUCAUAACCAAUUUACUCACACGCAGCUAUAACAUAAGAGAUUAUAAAACCCAUUAGUAAGUUUAAACUGAAUCAUCAAUAAUUAUAACUCAGCCAUUACUAACCAUCACUAAUAUAACUCAGCCAUCCAUAAAUCAUAACUCAGUCAUCAAAAACGAUAACUCAGCCAUCACAAAAUUUAACUCAGCCAUUACUAAAAUAUAACUCAGUCAGUAACUAUCAUAACUCAGUCAUCGAAAACGAUAACUCAGCCAUCACAAAAUAUAACUCAGCCAUUACUAAAACAUAACUCAGUCAGUAACUAUCAUAACUCAGUCAAUAACUUUCAUAACACAGCCAAAACCUUACCUCACCAUGCGCUUUGAUAUCUUCAGCAAUGGUCAAUUCCAUUGUUUUACGUGUACGGUUUCCACCCCAACGAAGCAACGGUAUCUCAUCCUUGUUGACUACUCUCCCAUAUCGCUCUCCAAAGCAUUUGACUGAAUCAUACGCCAAAGCCUGUAACACGUAAACCAUACCACUGACGGUGUACGUCUUUCCAACAGGCCUCAACAACUUUAUAGAAUUAACCAGGGCUUCAAAUGCUGACCGACCCCAUGGAUAAGUGUUCAUGGAUUCCUCAUCAAAAACUCUUUUCGCACUCUCAAAUGGUAUUCUAGAGUUAUGAUGCAAGCCAUACAGUCCAAUGGCUUGAAGAGUCAACAGCCCCAACCACUUACGCUUUUCAGGAGUCCAUGUCCUACACACUAGUAAUCCUGUCCUCAGUUCAUCUAACUUUGGACCUUCACCACCAGGCACAUUCAAUUCACUGAAGAACGCUUUGUAGUCAGCUUUAGGUUCAAACUUUUCUGUAGGGAUUGAACCUGUGUUUAACCCCGUGAUAUGACCAAAUUCGUUCAAGCCAAACCUGAUAGGUUGACCACCAACUAGAAACCAAAUCUCCUUCUUGUGUAUUCUUAACUGUCUACACAGUAGAAAAUGUACAGUCUUACCAGACCACAUGAAUUGGCUUUCAGCUAGCUUAGCAAUUAUUCCAAUAGGUGACCCCUUCAGUUCAUUCCACGCUUUUUGUCCUAUUGAUUCUAUAAUCACAGGGACAUCUACCAUCUUGAUAUUGUGAUUUAACAAUUUAUUCUCCAGAAUAGACUCCCCUUCUGCGUAAAGUCUUGGAGGGUAAUCCCUUGGUUGUUCUUCAGAAAUAACCUUAGCCAUCUGAUAAACCAUAAAUCAGCCGUAAGCAUACAGUAACUCAGUCACAACAUAAAACAAACUCAGCCACAGUUGAGCAGAUAAACCAUAACUCAGUCGUAAGCAUAGAGUAACUCAGCCACAACGUAAAACAAACUCAGCCACACCAUAAAACAAACUCAGCCAUAGAUGCAUUGAUAAAUCAUAAAUCAGUCUAAAGCAAACAAUAACUCAGCCAUGGAAUCGAAUAGAUAUAACAAAUUAGCCACCAUAUGAAAAUCAACGUUGGCGAAAAUCAUCUGUAAUAAGCGUCGAUAAAAACCCUCAAUUUCUUCGCGAUAGUUUUCGGAAAACGGUUUCAAUCACGGAAAUCACUCGCUAUUGAACUUAGAUGCGGGAAAAAUGUCGGAAAAUCCAAAAUAAAGAUUCGACACAUACCUUAAACAAGUUGAGUUGAGACGAAAUGGUCCCGACUUGAGGUGAGGCGACGAAGUAAAAGGUCCUGACUUGAGUAGAGACGAAAUGCGACGGAGAGAACGAGAGAUUUAAGAGUUUCGGCCGGAAUUAGGGUUUCUUAGUCUUAGUCGGAAUCGCGUUUCCGUCGGAGAAAGAAAAAGUUUUUUACAGUUUUUUUUUUUCGGAGAUGAACAGUGACAGAGAGGGAAAUCGAAAGGGUUCUCUUAAUGACGUUAAUGACGUGGCUUUAAUUUGUUUUUCUUUUAAUGACGUGGAUUAACAUAAUUUUCGUUAAUCAUUUCUUAAUUAAAAAUGGAUUAAAAAAAUCUUUAUAAAAAAAAACUAAUCAAGGGUGUUAAUUGUAAUUACACAAAGACGCUAAACAUAUGAGUAAUUUUUAAAAAAUGUAUGAUAUUCUAGUAAUAUUCGAACUUUUGGUUAACAUCUGAGUAAAUAACACUUUAGAUAUUUGAUAAUAUAGCGUUUUUUGAUAUGCAAUAUAUAAAUAAACAAUAGCGAUAAUUAUUUGCUAUAAUAUUUUUAAUUAUUUGUAAAUAUAUAUAUAUAUAUAUAUAUAUAUAUAUAUAUAUAUAGAGAAUUUUGUAAUACGUAGAUGUUUUGUAUUUAUAUGGUAUUUGUGUAUUUAUAAAAUAUUGUAUUUAUACAGUAUUUAUACAAAUCAUUUACAUUAUUUCGUUUUUAUUAAUUUCUAAUUAUAUUUAAUUCAUAUUUUAUUAGGUCUUUUUGGAUAAAUUGACAUUAAAAAUAUCAUUUUUAUAUGAAUUCAUAAUACAAAAUAUUAUAUUACAAAGUAAAAAUACAAAAUUAAAAAAUAAAAAGUACAUAUAGUAACUGCAUUUAUCAAAUCCAAAACAAUUCAAAUCUAAAUCCCAUUAAGGUCUAGAAACAUUGAAUAUUAACAUCCUACUCUCAUCAAUUUCACCACGUAUAUCUCGAACUUGAUUAUGAGAGUUGUUCUUCCAUUCGCCUUCUUCAAAUCACCAUCCCUUCUUUAAAAAAAAUGUUGCUACUUUUACAGAAUCGUCUUCUCUAAUCUAACACCCGAGCACGAUCCAUCAAGUUGUGUCAACACAGUUCCUUCAAUCCAACCUCCCAUCACGCUGGUCGCCUUCUUCCUCCUCUCAAAAGGUAAUUCCAGUUACCCAAAUCGUAAAAGUUGAUUGUCUUUCUCUCUUUUUUGAUUUUUAUCUAUUCAGUUGCAGGUACUUCUAUCUCUGCUUGCAACAUGAAACUUGAUUUUACACCGAUUGCUCAACUAGAGUCUGUGACUGAGAAUGAAAUUUGGAAAAUUAAAGCAUGAGUUGACCGUUUUUGGCUAUUCCAAAAUAAUGAUAAGCCUGGAGAUUCUGAUGUACUUGAUUUAGUACUUGUGGAUGAUAAGGUGGAAAACAAAAUUCAAAUAUAUGUUUAUUUGAUUUAGAUAUUUUUGUACUUUUGUAAUCCAAUUUUUUCUCUUUUAAUGACAGGGAGACCGUAUACAAGCAUGCAUCAGAGGAAAAUUAAUUCAAAAGUUCGAAUAAGAUCUUCAAGAAGGAGAAUGUCGUAUACUGAUGAAUUUUAAGUUGUCUCCUAAUUUUGGGAGUUACAGGGCAACUGGACACUCUUUCAAAAUCUUUCUCACUUGGUCAACAAUUGUGAAGCCUUGUGAGGAAAUCCCAAACCAAUCACUUCGUUUCAGUUUCAUCCCUUUUGAUAAGCUUCAGAGACAUGACGAAAACCCUUGGUACGUGUUGGUGAAAUCGUUGGAAUGAAUGAUCUUAAGGAAAUUACUGUUCGCAAUGCUCCAUCUAAAUUGCUGAAUGUUCAACUCAAGAGCCUUGAGUUAGUAACUUCCAACUUGGUAGUCAUUAUUAUUAAUCUAUUAUGUCUCUCUUUUCAAAAUCGUGUUCUUAUAUAUGCAGUGAUUCAAUAAUUGAUUGUGUAUUUUGGGGAUUGUGGCAUAGUGAACAUUACCGAAAUCAGAUUUGGGGAUUGAAACGAACGUCUUUAGAUAUCACCGGCCAGACAUCGAGCUGCACCCAGAUUUACUUACAUCUUUCAUCUUUUCGUGAUGAUAUGUGUCGAACGAACGAAAUCGAAUUUUUUUUCUCAGAAAUCGAACUGCAACUAUAUCACUUUUUGUUUCCUGAGACUCUCAUCGAAAUCGAGCUACACUUAGAUCAAUUUUUUUUUCUGAGAACGCCGACGAAAUUUUGAUUUUGAGAUGAGAGAGACCAAAGGACCGAUGCUGGAAAGUAAAACUUACUUUUCUUUAUUUUUUUAAUGAAACGAAAAUAAUUCUAUGGUGACGACCAAAAAAAAAAUAAUUCUUUGGUCAUGCGUUCACAUUAUGUAACUCUUAUGAGUUAUGACACUCUCUAUUUAAUUUAAUAAAUUUUGACUUUUAUUAAAAUCACACGUUAAGGUGUAUCGUUUGUGCUAUAGUGUUUGUAAUGUUUUCUCCCUUCAUCUUUUUCUACGUUUAAUUAUCAUAAUUUCUAGAUUUUUAAUUAAUUGAAAUACAUUACAUAUUAUGAAGUCCGGGCCAAAAUAUUAGUAUAUAUAUAUAUAUAUAUAUAUAUAUAUUUGUAUUUUUUACAUUAUAUAUUCGUUGUUUUAAUUCUGUAAUUAGAUUUCAAAUGAGUCAAUUAGCUGUAUGCUAAUUAUUUGAGAAAUAAUUAGCUUGUACAUACACAACUUUUAUUUUUUGCAAAACAAGAGAUAGAAAUCUUUGGUUUUGAAAAAAUCGGACGAAUUUACCCCUGGAAUAAGACACAUGUGUAUUUCCCGAUAUAUCACUAUAUAUCAUGAUAUAUAAUCAAAAAGAGAAUGGUUAGAAAAACCAGAAACUGAUGUUGGAUCAUAAAAAACCAAUCAAUCUCUAUGACGACUCUGCAAAGAAUCCUCCAAAUCAAGAUCAACACCAACACGAUUCAAGACAUUAUCUUCCACUUAUUCUCAAGUUCCUUAAAUCUCUCAACAUCAAACUUAUGACUCUUAAGCAACCUCCUCUGUCUAGAAAGAAACAACCUUUUCAUGAAAUCUUGAUAUGUUGGGUCUCUUGAAGUCAUCAAGAAAUAAGCAUAACCCACAAUAAUCCCAGUAGCUGUAGUGAAAAACGUUAUUUGUUCUUAGCGUCGUCGGUUGACGGUGUCUCAAAUCAUCUCUAACAGAAGCUCAAUAAUAACGAACGACACCCAAACAUACGACGUCUCUAUAUCAAAUUUUUUUUUAAGGUUUAUUGAGUUCAUUUUAAUCAGAAAAAUGCGACGAGUUUAAUGAAUUCAAAAUAUCAUAAUUUUAGAUGCAAUCAGUUUCACAAUUAAGAAGAAUCAUUUGUUUGGGGUUAUCAUAAAGUAAAGAAAAAAGAAAAAGAAAAAAAUAAAUAUUAAAAGUAAAGAGAAACAAAGAAGGAAGGAAAGAAGAAUGAAGUGUUUGAUUUUAGGGGUAUUUUAGUCUUUUUAUCAUGUUUUCAGUUGAUCAUUUAUUUACAGGUUUGCCACUUUUCCUUUGACUUAAAUACUUUUCAGUCUUAGGGUAUGUAGUGUAAUUACUAAUUUCAAAUUCUACGCCCUAAAUCAAAAACACACUAAAUUUCCUUACUAUUUUGUGUUUUGUAGUAGUUUAAUUAUUUUCUAAUCUAUUUUACGUUCUUACUAAUUUUCAUCAGUUUUAUUUAUUCACUUUUAAAAUUACUCAUACAUAUUGUGAUAUGAUCAUUUACUAUACAUGCAUUUAGAUUUGUGGACACGAGUUCACAUAUAUAAACAUAGAUACACAUAAUUUCUCUCUAAUCUUCUUCCUUCUUAUUGUUUUUCUGGUCGAAUGUCUUUUGUAUCCAUCAGCUUUAUACCAUAUGCUUGCAAUAUAUUCAAAGUUGUACGUACCACCACAUAUCCCAAACACAACAAAUCAUCAUCAUCCUUUUCAUCUGCAAACACAUCACAGUUUUUUUUUAUGUGGAAUUCAAAGAUACAUGGCAAAUAGACCUCUGGUUCAAGAGGCCUUAAGACUCCUCUUGGCUUGAUCUUGUCUUCAAUUAACAGCUGCAACACCCAACAUCUGAAUCAUAAGCUUAAAAUUUGUAACUUAGAGAAGUAAAGACAGGAAAAAGUAAUAAGGACCAGAGCUCCAAUGGCUGCAUGGAUCCCGACAGUCUUGGCCAUAGCGGUCCUUGCUUGUCCGUUCUAGACGUCCCCGAAUUCCAAAAGAGUCGCACUGGGUUUCUCUGUACAUUUGCUUUUAGGGAGUUCCACCUCUAAUUUGUGAUGUAGAAGCACCAUGUCCUGAAAACAUAAGGUAAAAGAUUGUCCAAAUUUUAUGUCAGAAGUAACAUCAAGUGCAAGAGAGAGAAAACCAAUGGUAGCAACGAAAGACUAGAAACAUAGACCUGCUCAUUUUCGGAAUACAUUGACGAACCACAAAACUCGGUGUUCUCUUCUAUGCGAAUUCAAGCAUAACAUCAUCCUUAACCUAAAUUUCAUUGUGAUAUAAGAGCUCAAAAAUUUCCUUGGAGAUUGCAAGGAGAACCUCAAGAUUAUAAAUGAACUAAGAUAGGUGAUAUCUCUUAAAACUUAAAUUUGGAUACGAGGUUAAAAUUUAGAAAUACCUUUAAAGGACACUAGCUCUCAAACACAUGCCUUGUCCAUAUCAUAACAAUACAACCAAAGCUCCACCGAGUAUACACUUUGUGAUAAAGAGUUCAAAGGAUCAGACACUCAAAUUACAAUGACUGUCGACUCACAUCAACACACGAGCAAGAAAGUAAACAAAUAAGAAAAUAACAGCUUACAAUGUAGAAACAAGCGGCAGUAGCAAUAAAAUUGUAGAUUUGAAGACUUAUCUAAAAAAGAAAUCGACAAACCCUUAUAAUCGAAAUCCCAAAUUGAUUAUUAACCAAACUUAAAAUCAAACUUAAAAUCAAACUUAAAAUCGAAAUCCCACAUACCUGUUAGUUCUUCUAAGCACGAAAUUCAACUGCAAGAACAGUCAAACACAUAUCAAUUAGAAACCGAUAACACUGAAUAAACCAACUAUUUACCAAAACCAUAAAAUCGAAAUCCCAAAUUGAACUCGAAUACCUUUAUCUGAAGUCUCACCGACCUCUGACUGCUAAACAAAAAAAAACUCGAUGGAUUAAUACUAAAUUAGAACCUUAAAUCUGUUCAAAUAACCAAAAACCCAAACACAAUUUCACCUUCAAUGUCAAAUUUGACCAUACCACUUCGAUUUACCAAUGUAGAUGACGAUGAUUAAUAGGGAACGAAACUGCGAGAAGGAUAUCAAGACAGAUAUCGAAAACAAGACUGAGAUUGAGAGGGAACGAAAUGGAGACCGAUAGAGAUUGAGAUUGAAAGUAAGAUGAACGGGACUGUGAUUGAGAGAUCAAGAUAGAGAUGGAGGAAGGAGUCUGAGUGAGAGAUAGAAACAGAGAUCAGCUUGUGUGUUGCGUGAAAGAAGAAGUGAAAGAGAUGGGUAGGCCUAGGCAAAAAAACCGUACCCGAGUAUCCGAACCGAAACCGACCCGAAAAAACCGGUUCGGGGCGGGUACGGAUAUUAGCUAUUUACCCUAUUGGGUCUUGUAUUGUCGUAUCCGUGGGUAUAGGAUAAAACCCGAUCCGAACCCGAUACCCGAACGGGUACCCGAUUACCCAAAAUUACUUAUACUUUUUUUUUUUUUUUUUUGAUCAAAGGGAAAUUUCAUUCAAUUGGGACAUUAGGGUUCAUUACAAGCACCAAGAACCUCUUUGGCCAGGGCAUCUGCCUGACGAUUAAGGUUUCGUGGGGUGAAAUUAAAAGAGCAAAACGCAAAAAUUGACGAUAGAGACAGGAUGUCGUGGAGAAUCCCGUGGAGUUCCUUGUGUGGGAGCUCCGAAUUGAUUGCUUUGACAAGGUUCAACGAGUCUGAAGCAAAAUAAACAUUGGUGAAAGCUGAUUCAAUUGCAACUUUAACCGCAGCAAGAGUUGCAAGGGCUUCGGCUACCAGUGGAGAUCUGACAUGAGAUACAGCGAGAGAUCCAGCUAGAACAACAUGGUCUUGUUGGGUCUUCACGAUCCAGCCAAGGCCAGCCUUUCCAUCCUCCUUCCAAGCUGCGUCAGAGUAAAUUCUCAGAGUGAGAUCAUCGACUAAGGUCUGUGUGGGUACUCGUGGAGGGCUUGAUUUAAUGGGGAUCGAUCUUUGUGAUGCUUGCCAUUCCCUUGCACGGACAAUUCCGAUGGUCAUCGCUUCCGUGGCAGGGAUAACUUUCUUGCUAAAAAGUAAUUGGUUCCUUGUUGUCCAAAUUGACCAGAGAAUCCACGGCGAUAAAGGUCCUUCUCCAAUCCCCGAAGGUGGGAGGCAAAUCAGCUUAUUGACCAUUGAUAUACCUUCUCUUGUAGAAGAGAUGGAGCCUGUAUUUAGGCGGGAGCUGAAAGGGGCUAAACUCCAGAUUUGAUUAGCCAUAGGGCAAUGGAAGAAGAGGUGUAGGGUGGUUUCAGUUUCGCCACAGUGAGGUCCUUCUCCAAUCCCCGAAGGUGUAAUAUUUAUACUUAUACUUAUACAUAUAAAAACUUUAUAUAUAUAUGUAAUAUUUGAGCUAAAUACAUUUAUAUCCAAAUAUCUGAGAGUAAUUACCAAAAAUUAAAUGCACUUAUAUUUAUAUAUUUAAGACUAAAUAUAUUUAUACGCGAGAUGCUUGUAAAUUUUUUAAUUAUUUGGACAAAAUUCCGGUUAUUCGGAUAAAUUUUUGGGUGAAACUUGGAUAUUUGAGUAAAAUUGCGGAUAAAAUUCGGAUAUUAGAGUAAAAUUUCGGGUAAAAUUCGGGUAUUUGGUAAAAUUUUGGGUAUUUGGGUAUAAAAUACCCGAACCCGAUGGGUGCCCGAUUUUUUCGGGUAUUUAGCGGUUCUAAAAAUCUAAACCCGAACCGACCCGAACCCGAUUAGACCCGAACCGAAACCGAACCGAUAUUUUAGAUUUACCCUAUUGGGUCCUAAACUCCUCUACCCGAAAGACCCGUACCCGAUCGGGUUUUACCCGAACCCGACCCGCAUACCCGAAUGCCCACCCCUAGAUGGAGGUGUCGAAUGGGGGAGAAAGAGAUAUAGACGUGAAACCUAAUUUUUGACCAAAAAAUUUUUAUUUUAUUUUUAUUCUUUUACUAAGUAAAAUUUUAGAGCCAAAAUUUUCAGUUUUCCGGUUAUCCUUACGAUAACAUUUUCAUUGUUAUAUAUGCUAUCGUAGAACCAAAAACUAAGCACUAAUACAGAAUGUUUUCGUGCCUAUUCUACCAUAGCGUUUGUCUUUUCGAAAACGCUAUAAAAAUUUUCUUAAAACUCAACCAUAGCAAAAACAUUUAAAACGCUAUACAGUACUGCUAUUAAUACCUCCAUGAUUGGAAUAAUAUUUUUAUUUUUAUGAUAUAGCCGGACUCGUGUUUAGCGAGCUGCCUACGUACCCUAAAAUAGGAUCAAGCCAAAUCGUAGUUCGAUUGUGUUUGCUUUAGCAAUAGAACUUUUUCAAGUUGAUGAUGUUCCAAGGCCUCUGAACGGGGUUUCCGUAAAGGUCUUGUAAACGGUAAACACCAUUUCGGAUUUUUUCUGUGAUUUGAUAAGGACCUUCCCAGUUAAUACCGAGUUUUCCAGCUCCUUCUUCUUUUGUGUUAUCUAACACUCGUCUUAAAACAAAGUCUCCUACAUUUAAAGGUCUGUUUUUCAACUUUGAGUUAUAGUAUCGAGCGGUCAAUUGCUGAUAGUUUUGAAGUCGAAUAAGGGAUUGAUCUAGCCUUUCAUCGAUUGUAUCAAGAAUGUCUUCUAAUAAUUUAGAAUUUAGUUCUUCGUUAAGAGGAGCUUCGCUCCGGCGUAAACCAGGAACAUUCAGUUCGGCUGGGACUACAACUUCCAUUCCAUAUAUUAAUGAGAAUGGAGUUUCUCCCGUUGCUCAUCUCGGGGUUGUUCGAUAUGCCCAUAACACAGGUUGCAGCUCGUCAUACCAACCACCUUUCCGAGCAUUCAAACGCUUUUUAAGAUUGCUGAGAAUGGUUUUAUUGGAAGCUUCGGCUUGCCCAUUUCCUUGAGGAUACCUUGACGUUGAAUAGCUAAGUUUUAUUCCCCAAGCGGAACAAAAAUCUUCAAAUUCAUUUGAAAUGAAUUGAGGACCGUUGUCCGUUACUAUUUCGUAAGGAACUCCAUGGCGACAAAUAAUGUGUUUCCACAAGAAUGUUUUUACUAUAGAAUCUUGUAUAUUUACGUAGGCUUCUGCUUCGAUCCAUUUGGAAAAAUAGUCCAUUAGAACUAAAAAGUAUUGGACGCCUCGCGUUGAGCGAUGCAUCGGACCAACUAUAUCCAUUGACCACCUCAUGAAAGGGUAUGGAGCGGAUAUGGAUGAUAAAAUUUCAGAUGGCUGGUGAAUAAGAGGAGCGUGCAUCUGACACUUUUUACACCGUUUGGCGUACUCGAUGCAAUCAGAAAUCCUAGUUGGCCAGAAAUAUCCUAACCGUUUGAUUUUGAAAGCCUUUGCUCGUCCCGAAGAAUGACUACCACAAAGCCCUUCGUGGACCUCGCUUGUUACUAUUUCAACCUCGGGUCCCAAAAUACAUAAAAGAUAAGGAUCACUGACGCCUCGCUUGUACAACGAUUCUUUAAUUAUACAAUACUUAGCGCUGAUGAUUUUUAAUUUGCGAGCUUGCCAUUUGUUCGAUGGUAGUUCUCCACUAAGAAUGAAAUUUUUGAUGGGUACCCUCCAGUCAGCCCCCCAAUCUUUAGCGGAAGUAUUAUCCUUGAGUAUAAACUUCCUUGGUUCGGGUUCGGGAAGAAUAUCAGGAUCUUCGAUUGUUUCCCGAACUUCUUCAUCACCCGGAGGUGUCUGUUCCGUUCGAGACAGUUCUUUAGUGGGAACCUCUUGAUCCUUCAACUUUCUUCUUGGCUUUCUUUUAGGAAGUUCCAGCGAAGUAAGUUCAUCAUCCUGAGAUUUUACUCGUGAUCUGGUGACGACAAACAAACUAUUUUCAUUUCCGGAACUUAAUUUUGGAGUUUCGAUAUGCUCGGCCUCCAAAAUGUUAUCGUUUUCUGUUCUUCAACCGAAAUACUUCGCGAAGAAAUACAUUCAACAAAGAUAACUCGUUUGAGCUCAGGAUCCGAGGUAGAGGCUAGGGCAGCUAAAGCGUCUGCCGAAGUGUUUUCUCCUCGAGGUAUUCGAACUAAUUCGAACUCUUUGAAUUUUCCGGCUAAUUUUUUGACAGCCGAAAGAUAGGCUUCCAUUCGAGGAGCCUUAGCUUCGUAUUCUCCAGCGAACUGGUUUACAACUAGCUGAGAAUCACAAUAAGCUAUUAUUUUUUCUGCUCCAAUUGCAAGAGCAAGCCGAAGUCCUGCUAAGAGAGCUUCGUAUUCUGCUUCAUUGUUCGAAGCUGGAAACAUUAAUCGAAAUGAUUGUUCGAUUAUUUCUUUUGUCGGAGUUUCGAGCCUAAUACCGAUUUCGGACCCUUGUUUAGAAGAAGAGCCAUAUACAUGUAAUUUCCAUGUAGAGUUUGUUUCAAUAAGGAUUCCGUCAUCCGGUGGCAGUUCGGUCAGAAAAUCAGCCAGAACUUGUGCCUUUGCGCUAGUUCGAAUUUUGUAUUCUAUAUCGUACUCACUGAGUUCGAUUGCCCAUUUCGCCAAUCUACCGGACUGACUUGGUCCGUGGAGAAUUGAGCGAAGCGGAUGGGAAGUCAGAACUUCUAUCGGAUGAGAUUGGAAAUAAGGUCUUAGUUUUCUAGCAUAUAUGACUACUGCUAAAGCUAAUUUUUCCAUCAUGGUAUAUCUCGUUUCCGGAGGUAAGAGAUUUACUUAUGUAGAAAAUCGGCUUCUGAUCACCUCGAUCUUCUCGGACUAAAACUCCACUUACAGAAUGAUUAGAAACCGAGACAUAAAAAUAAAGUUUCUCAUCUGAUUCAUGUUUUGAGAGAACCGGUGGUGUUGUCAAAUAAGUUUUGAGUUGAUGGAAAGCUGCUUCGCAUUGAUCAUCCCACCGAAACUUUUUGUUCCCUUUUAAAAUCUGAUAAAAAGAGAGACAUUUAUCGGUGGAUUUCGAGAUGAAACGAUUCAACGCGGCAAUUCUGCCCGUCAAUCGCUGGACCUCUUUAAUGUUUUUUGGUGAAGGCAUUGUGAGGAAAGCGUUAAUCUGAUUAGGAUUUGCUUCUAUUCCUCUUUCCGUGACUAUGUAACCUAGGAAUUCUCUGGAAGGCACACCAAAAGAACAUUUAGCAGGAUUUGAUUUCAUUCCGAAUUCAUUCAGAAUUUUGAAACAUUGCUCAAGAUGUGUUAUGUGCUCGGAUUUCUUAAGAGAUUUUACGAGCAUAACAUCGAUAUAAACUUCCAUCGUUUUGCCCAAAUGUUUUGAAAACAUUUUGUUAACUAGACGUUGGUAUGUUGCCCCGGCAUUUUUUAGACCGAAUGGCAUAACUUUAUAACAGUAGAUUCCUCUAUCUGUUAUGAAAGAUGUUUUCUCUUCAUCUUCGGGAUUCAUCAUGAUCUGAUUAUACCCAGAAAAUGCAUCCAUGAAUGUCAAUAGUUCAUUUCCGGCUGUUGACUCUACGAGCCGAUCGAUAUGAGGGAGAGGAAAACUGUCUUUUGGACACGCUUUGUUAAUGUCAGUGAAAUCGACACAUACUCUCCACUUUCCAUUUUUCUUUUUGACUAUCACGGGGUUUGCUAACCAGUCCGGGUAUUUUACUUCUCUAAUCGAACCAAUAUUCAAAAGCUUAUCAACUUCGUCAUUGACCGCUUGAGCUCGGUCAUGACCCAGUUUUCUUCUUUUUUGCUUUAUUGGUUUAAAAUUGGGAUCGACAUUUAAGUCAUGGGUAAUGAUACUUUUGUCGAUGCCAGGCAUAUCCUUGGCCGACCAGGCAAAAGUAUGUUUAUUUUCUUUUAAAAAUGUUACCAAUUGAUCUUUGAUUUCUGAAUCCAAAGUAGUACCGAUUUUUACUUUUCGAUCUGGAAAUUCGGAAUCAAUUUCAAUUUCCGUGGUAACCUCAUUCGAACUGAGACCACUUGGGUAACGCGAGGUGCUUUCUUGCUUAGCAUUUAUCAUUAAUUGUUAUUUGAGCUUUAAACGAUGUCCCAUGAGGUAGCAAGAUCGCAACGUUUCCUUAUCUCCUCGAAUGGUUCCAAUUCCACUAGGAGUCGGAAAUUUCACACAUUGGUGAUAAGUUGAAGGUAUAGCCUUCAUUUGGUAUAUCCACGGAGUUCCGAGAAUUAUGUUAUAAGCGGCCGGACGGUCGAAAACAAUAAAUUCUACGAUUUUUGGAACCCUUGCUGCGAGCACUGGUAGUUUUAUGUUUCCUAAGGACAUAGAUGUGUCGCUCGUGAAAGCUAUUAACGGUGCCGGUGGACCGAUAAUGUCAGCUUUACUGAUUCCCAUUCUCUGCAAAGUGCUUAGAUCUACCGAGCUUCCAGUAUCAAUUAGACACCUUGUCACUUCGAAGUUCGCAACAUCUAAAGUUAUCACAAGAGCAUCAUCAUGAGGCCUAGCUAAUCCUUGAGUGUCCGAAUCGUCAAAGGAGAUAGAAGGUAUUUGUUCAUUUGAUUGAAAACCCACAUCGGUUUGAAUUGAAUUGCUGCUGAUUUCUUGUGCCUCUUGAUCGAUCUGAUCGAAUCUCGGCAUAAUUUGGACCCUCCCAUUAUAACAUCGAUCCUUUUCUUAGGAGUGUUCGGAGUUCCGGGCCCAUUGGGCUUAUGUUUCUUUUCAGGAGGAUUAGAAGCUUCGGAAUCUUCUUUUUCUUUGUGGUAUGAUUCCACAAAUUCCUCGACAUUGAAAUUAGCGAGCUCUCAAGCUGCCCACAGUUCGGUGAGGUGCUUUUUGAGUACGCUCCAAUCUUUGGUGGAGUGCCCGUUUACUUUGUGAAUAUCGCAAUAGGCACUUUCGUCUCUAACCCAAGUAUUAGGAGGAUUGUAUCUUCCUUUGCUUGGGGAGGGUUUUCCUACAGCAUUGGUAGAAGGAUUAACUCCGAACCGUUUUUGAUCUUUUGGUUCGAACUUUUCAGUUGGAUUCGCCACGGCUAAUUUAGCUGGUCGAUGCUGUUUAGCGAGGCUAAGCUUUUCUUCUUCUGCCUCCAUCCAAUUAGUAGCUCUGAAUAAAGCAUCUUGGAUGGUACUUGGACGGUUGACGAUAAUUUCUUCUCAAAAUCGGGAUUAAUGCCAGAGUCCGUUCUUUAAAGCAGAAAGGGCAGCAGCGUGUGAUACCCUAGGAAUUUUGGCUAUCACUUCUUUGAACUUAGCGAUAUAUUUGCGAAGUGGUUCAUUCUGACCUUGGGUUAAAUUACAAAGAUCUGCAUCAGAAGUUGCCUUUUCCAUGAACAUGGAAUAUUGUUUUAGGAAUGCAGAGGACAAUUCCUUAAAACUAUCGAUAGUUUCUGGUUCUAACUGGGUGAACCAUAACAGAGCCGAUCCGGAAAGAUUUUCAGAAAAUAGUUUGCAAAAUCCGGCAUCUUCCUCGCCUGGUUCUAGAUCAAUUCUGUCUGCAGCGAUCUGAAAAGCAGCGAGGUGAUUUUUAGGAUCUCCUUUACCGUCAUAAGUUGGUAACUUAACCUUCCGAGAAUCUUUGAUUCGAAGGUUCGAGAUUCUAGAGGUAAAGGGAGUUCGACGAGUUUCUUCGAUUACUCGAUCGAUCUCAGGCGCCGAACUGGUCGCCUGAUGAAAUUUCGAUUUCAUUUCAUUAAGCUCUUGGCGAACUUUGAUGAAAUCGUCUGAUAGGGUGACAUCAGGAUCUUCUAUAAAAAAAUCCGUCGUCAACAGGAAGAUUUCCCUGACCCUGGGGAAUUUCUUCCCCGGUUGGGUUAGUCGCAUCUCUUGCGGCUACCGGAUUGCUAGUACUAGCAGGCUGGCCUGUUUAAGGAGUUCGAGUAAUCCCAGGUGUCGCGAAUAACCUGCGCUGAUGCAUUGAUGUUCGCGUUGAGGACAAAUUAUCUAAACGGCUUGAAACAAUGUUCUGCGCGUUUGACAAAUUCGUUUGGGUGGUUUGAACACUUGUUAAGGUUUGCUCGAUUGAGUUCAACCUUUCACCAAAAGUGGUGUUGGCAGUAACAAGUGUACCCAUCUGAUUGGUUAGAUCGGUGGUUGUUUGAGUAAGCAAGGCAAUUGCAUCGCUCAAUGCUUGCUGAUCAGCCAAAAUUUCUUGGUUGGGAAAGAAAGAUUUUGAGAUUAAAGAGUUUUGCGGUAACUCCCCACAGGCGGCGCCAAAAUAUGGAUGUAGGAUUCACACUCGAUUAUCUUUAAGUAUUUUUGUGGAGAAAAACUCUUGUUAAAUCAGGAAAUAAAUAUGAGAAUUUGAAAAGGAAAACAACCAAGAAAAGGAGUAAAGAAAUUUGACGAAAGAUGAAGUGCAAAAUGCCUUGCGAAAAAUAGUAAAGAGAGAAAAAUGUAUUGUAUUGUUUAGAAGUAAUCAGUAAUGAGAUUCGUCCCCCUCAAACACAUGCGUUUGAGGUUGUUUUUAUAGAGAAAACAUGAUCAAUGCGGUCAUUUACUGCUCAUAAUCGCGUUGAUCCGCAUUAAUCAUGUAUGUUACAUUUUGACCGAAACGGCUUGAAUUUGAACUAUCUUGGGCUUCGCGUGGAUCUUCCGAACUCUCUCUUGUUGACUCUGAACUCCCGCGUCUUGACGCUACCGCGACCCUCGAACAAUAUUCUCCUCGCUUCGGCCUUUCUCUAUGCGAACUGUAUGUUGAAUAAGAGCGAACUCCGUACUGGUAAAGAUCGAACUCUUUUAGUAAACUGAAUCGAACUCCCGACUGGUUAAGCUCGAUUCUCAUAACAAAAUAUCUUUAAUUCCAAGAGGAUUAUUAUGUAAUAAUGACGUGGACAGAUCCAAGUGGAUCCUACCAAAAAUGUGUGGGAUCCGACCCCAACAAGAACUACUAGCAGUUGACCGCUCGAUACUAUAACUCAAAGUUGAAAAACAGACCUUUAGAUGUAGGAGACUUUAUUUUAAGGCGAGUGUUCGGUAACACAGAAGAAGAAGGAGCUGGAAAACUCGGUAUUAACUGGGAAGGCCCUUAUCAAAUCACAGAAAAAAUCCGAAAUGUUGUAUACCGUUUAAAAGACCUUGACGGAAAUCCUGUUCAAAGGUCUUGGAACAUCAUCAACUUGAAAAAGUUCUAUUGCUAAAAAUAAACAUAUUCGUACUACGAUUUGGUUUGAUCCUAUUUUGGGUACGUAGGCAGCUCGUUAAACAUGAGUCCAGCUAAAAAAAUAAAAAUAUUAUUUCAAUCAUGGAAUCUUGUUUUUAUAAGCUCGAUCAUCAAGCAUAAAUAUUAAAAUACGUUGCGAACAAUGUAUAAAGAAAUAUUUCACGCUAAGCAAAAACCAGAUCUAGAAGGGUCUCAGAUUACGGAAUAGCUCUGCUCCUUGGCCUGCGAGGUCGACAAUGCUCAGAAUGCAACCCGACAUGUUUCCGUACUCUUAGAGGCCUAUCUCAAUCCAAUCGGAAGGGUGGGCUUCGAGGCGAUGAAGUUUGCGAGCAAUAUCGAGGCGACGCUUCUCAAGUUCCAUUCUUCUUUUCCUAAUCUCAAUUUUCUCACCUUCGAGCUCGUUGUGCCGAGUGAUAAGCUGAAGAAAAUAAAACGCUUCAUUUAGCAAUAACAAAAGGAGUCAAAUCACUAGGUUGAACAAUACCUUGGUAAUAAACUCUUCAACCUUGACACGAUCUUGAGCUGAUAAUCUCUCGAUUAACACAAUCGGAACCUGAAUGCUGGUUCCCCACCCUAAUGUACGUGACUCUUCUGGUUCGCCAGUUGCUUCCGUUUUUACAAGCUCGAUGUUUGACGUUCCCGAAAGAUCAUCGCUUAUCAUUUUGAAUGAGUCGGAGGGAUUCUCUGAAGAAUUACCUUCCUCGAAUAUUUUUGUAGAAGUAUUGUUGAUAAAACUCAAUAAUGAACUACACCUACUUUAUACUCGAAAUAUACUCAAUCACAUUUAAGAGGGUCAAUUGACGAUUUCCCAAAAUCUGAAAUUACUACCUUCAUAGAAAAUGUAAUCGAGUUAAUUGCUAAUUAUAUUCCCUAAAUUAACGCAUUAAAUAAGAUUGAAAUAAAUCGACAAAUUUAAAGCAAAAGCGGAAAUAUAAUUAAUGUCACUGGGCCGCUAGCCCAAUAGAAUGUUAUAAACAAAAAUAAAUCAAAGGAAUUGUUCGAUCAAAAGUCCUCGCCCGAUAACGAUUCCAGCGAGGUGGAUGAUCCCGAACAGCUUUCUGAGGAUAAUCCCUCGUCAGAAGAUAAAUCGAGGAGACCAGAGGAAUGAUCGAUAGAUUUUGCCUCCGAUUCUUCAUUUUCUUCAGUUUUUAACAUCGGAAAUCUCCGAAACUCUAAAAAACAUCAAACAAAAGAGGAUCUGUCGCCGGUUGCAAAGGAUAGAUGAGAUAAUUUGUCCAGCACGCGGAGGAAUCAUCGAAGACAAGAAGGAAUGAUAGCCACGAUAUCUAAACCCUUCCUCUCCCAUCCAUGCGGUUCAGAUUCAAGGCGAUGGAUCUAACUUUCCAUCCUCCUUAUACGCUCAUCGAGAGCACGGCGCCUCCUUCCGAUUCUUUGUCUCUUGUCACAUAAAGCUUUAUGCCUCCCGAUGAUCUGUUUGAACAAACAUUUUGUCAACCAUCUGAAAAAGAAUAUAAAGUGUUUUGAAAAGACUAAAAAUUAGAAAGAAAGCCUUUUCCAAGAAGUCAUAACAUUUGACCCUUUCUUGCCCUAUCCGGAAAUGGAAAAAUGUAGGGUGAAUAACUCCCUUUGGAGAAAAUCCAUCUUCGGAUUCAAACAAUAGACCCCCAUUCGAGGAUGUUAUUCUUAAACUGGAUCUGAAAGAGGAUAGCGGCAUAGUCCAGUUUCUCUUACAAUAAACUAUGACAGUCCUUCCGAAUUCUUUUAAAGGAUAAAAUUAUUCGGACUCUUCAAAAAAUGUAACAGAUUUCAAGUCUAAUUAAAACGUGGCCCAACACGCUUAAAGCCAUUUUUAGGCUAUGAUCAAAACCAUCGCCUAGUCAUCUUUAUGGCAAAAAUUCUCAUGAAUUAUAAAAGUCUUAUCCCUCGAUAAGAAGCUUAAGCCGAGCUCCAUCUUCGCUUCCGAGAGACCGAAGAAAAAUACUUUUUAAGGUUUUUUCUUUAAAAAAGGCAAGUGAGCAUGAUAAGCUCAUCUCUCACAAUUCAUAAAACCUCUUUGGUGGGUUAGGACUUGCAAACCUCGAAUCGCAUCCAAACGUUUUACUUAAAUAAAAAAAAUCAUAUGCAAGUGCAUGUACUCGAUUUUGUUCCAACACACUAAGUAAACAAAACAUUUCCGUCAAACGGAGUUGUUCUCAUGAACUCAAUAAAACAAUUCUUUAAGAGCGUUCAUCUACCUCAGGAGAACCCUCAUUUUGUCGAGAACCUUCACCUAUCUCGAAUUGAGAGGAGGAUUCUCCAAAUACCAAAGAAAAUUGUUUCAGAUCAAGAGUGGGUCGGGAAGCCGAGGAUAACUCGGAUUCAACUACGGCGAGUUCGGCAGUAACUUCCCUCCUCUCGUUCUCGAACGAAACUCUUCCAUUCUCUAGAUCUCCAAUCAGGUCUAAGUUACUCUUCAGCUUGGCUGAUCGGUUUGAAGUUUAGUCCAGACCUCUUCAUCUUUGAUAAACUUCACGAUAGACUGAAUAAGCUGCCUACCAAAGCUCCUUAUCUCUUAUCGAGCGUUAUGCUCGGCUUCGGCGAUCUCGCGAGCUCUGGUCUUAACUAAAAAGUCGGCCUUGUGGCUCGCUUCUUCGGACAAAGCCGUGGCCUCUUCUAACUCAGCCUUCAAGCGAAGAGCGCCGGACCUCGCAGAAUCCCUUUCAGCAUUCGCAAUUCUGAGGCGUUGCUCGUUAGCCGCCAAAGUCUUCUUCAUAUCUUCAAAAGACGAUUCGAAUGUUUUCGCCUGUUCAAGUCGGUCAGGCUGAUUGAUAGAUUUAAUUUUGUCAAUCUCCUUCUUAGCCUUUGCGGUUUCCUUCGCUGCUUGGUGAAGAAUAUUCUCAUAAUGGAAGAUCAUUCCAUUAGUCUCCAUUAACGCCUUCAAAGUAAAAUGUCAUUCAUAUAAAAAUUUACUUAACAAGGAAGUUCUAUUCUAGUAAAAACCUAAAGUUUUGAACCUGAGACAGGUAGCAAGCUCGAUUGAUGUACAUCUGACGGAUGUUCGGCCUCUGUGGAUGUAGGAUUCACACUCGAUUAUCUUUAAGUAUUUUUGUGGAGAAAAACUCUUGUUAAAUUAGGAAGUAAAUACGAUAAUUUGAAAAUGGAAAACAACCAAGAAAAGGAGUAAAGAAAUUUGUAGAAAGAUGAAGUACAAAAUGCCUUGCGAAAAAUAGUAAAGAGAAAAAAGUAUUGUAUUGCUUAGAAGUAAUGAAUAAUCAGAUUCCCUUUCCAAACACAUGCGUUUGAGGUUGUUUUUAUAGAGAAAACAUGAUCAAUGCGGUCAUUUACUACUCAUAAUUGCAUUGAUCCGCAUUAAUCAUGUAAGUUACAUUUUGACCGAAACGGCUUGAAUUUGAACUACCUUUGGGCUUCGCGUGGAUCUUCCGAACUCUUUCUUGUUGACUCCGAACUCCUGCGUCUUGACGCUGCCGCGAGCCUCGAACAACAUUCUCCUCGCUUUGGCCUUUCUCUAUGCGAACUGUAUGUUGAAAUAAGAGCGAACUCCGUAUUGGUAAAGAUCAAACUCUUUUUAUAAACUGAAUCGAACUCCCGACUGGUUAAGCUCGAUUCUCAUAAUAAAAUAUCUUUAAUUCCAAGAGGAUUAUUAUGUAAUAAUGACGUGGACAGAUCCAAGUGGAUCCUACCAAAAAUGUGUGGGAUCCGACCCCAACAUUUAGCCCCCCAAGUCUUGCGAGCUGAGUGCUCGGCUUGGAAGACUUAAGUAAAUAGUAAUUAAUGACUCGAGAUCUUUAACAUUCCGGAAUUAAAUAGUAAUUAAUGACGCUAUUACGCCGAUCUCGGAUAAUCAAACGAUUUGAUAUCCCUGACAACCGUCAUCAUUAAUUUUCUAAUUUUAUAUUAAUACUGCGGGAAAAACUGUCCCACUUCCCAAUACUCUCGAGGCGGUCUUUCAUCAUACUUUAGGGUUCUAAGAGGUAAAAUUACUUUUCCAUCUUAUCUUCUUUACCUAGAGAACCUUCACUCUUAUUACAGAAGUCAUUGUUUUCUUUUUGGUAAAAAAUCCCUUUCGUAAAAUGCCGAACCCUUCUUCCGAAUUUCGCGAAUACGAGGCUGACGAUCUCGAAGCUCUCAUGGGUGAAGGAUCCGGACCUCAAAUUCAAAUCGGAGAUGGGUUUGAUCUUCACCCUAGAGUGAAUCAACUAUCGAUUCUCUCAACGAUCUUCGUAGAUUAUGUCUCACCCCCCCUGAGGUAGAGAUGGUAGUUCCGGAGCCCUUCGAGUCUCCGGAGUCGGGGCGAGAAGGUUACUGCUGUGCCUAUGAAAUUUAUUUCAAAGGGUGCGGCUUAUUCUUUCCCCUUCCUGAGGUGCUUCUCGUCUACCUCAACUAUCUUGGAAUUGCUUUCUCCCAGAUGUCGCCCAACAUGCUCCGGUAUCUUUUGUGUACCCUCACUGUUGCAGUGGAGGCGGGCUACUCAUUGGGACUUUGCAAACUCCUGAAACUUUUCCAAGCUCGCGAUUCCCAAACUUCUGGGUAUUAUGCCCUUUAUCCGAACGCGGAUCGGAAUCUUAUUGACGGCCUGCCUUUAAAAGACAACGCCUGGAGGAAGUUUUGGUUCUUCUUCCGCAUAAAUAAUAUUUCUAUUCAGAGUUCUUCCGAACUCCUUCGAACUCACUGGUCAUCGAAUUUGGGUAGAAAUUAGGACUUAACUGAAUAAAUUCCCUUUGUUAUUUCAAACUGCGUUUCAACAUUUCCUUGUUUUCUCGCAGGUCCUCAGAUUCGACCAGUUCCAUCCGUCGACUUCCUCAACUUCUACAAGGCCGUCUUGGAGAGGCCAGUUAAUUGGAAUUCUUUUACUCUGGAAAGAAUUCACGGUGCCGGGUUUUCUGUCAGAAUGACCCUUACUCACCCCGGGGACGACAAAGUCUACCGGAAAACUCUCCUUGUUGACGAUGGAUCUCUUGAAGGUUCAAAGUCAAUGGCGGUUGCUGUGAACAAUGCUCCCUCCCCCAUCCCAGCAGCAGACAACGUGGUCGCUGCCACCGUUGAGGAAGAAGGCCUUACAGGUGAUUCUUCUCUCAUGAAAAAGAGGAAGGCCGAGGAACUUGAACCCCUGUUCCAGGGGCGUCCCAAAAACACAAGGAAGCUCAGGAUGAUUAUUCGAAUCUGCCUAUUCCUGAAUCUGCUGAAACUCAGGAUGUAAAUCCUGAUUCAGGAAUCGUUUUUAAGGAGCCGUUGGGUUCGGGGAUGUUACCUCCUAGACGUCCCCGAGGUAAUACUUCUAGGGUUCGAUCGUCUCCGAGCUCGACACUUGUUGCCAGAGCUUCAUCCCAAUCAGGUAACCUUUAAUUAUUAUACUAUUACUUGAGAUCAAUCGACUUCUCAAGAAGCUCAAUCCUCAAAUCACUAUCUUUAUUCUAGACAAAGAGAAUAUUGGGAACAUGUUUAGGUGCUUCCACACCCGCUUUGGGAAGAAACUCCCGUCCUUUGAGUGGUGGAAGUCUGAUAUCAAGAAGAUGUAUGUCAGCCAUUCAUUCCACUCCUCCCAAGUUUGACUAUUUGCACCUUUCAACAACCGAUUCGAAAGUUUUUUUUUUUUGAAACGUAUCUUCUUUCAUUAGGCAACUUUGGACGUAAAUGGCAUCAUCAACUAUUACGAAGAGGAGCUUUCCAAAGUUUCAAAGAAAGCUGCUGUUGCUGAAGGAGAGAUCGAGAAACUGCAAUCUUCCAGUCGGCUUGUGCAGGAGACUGCUGGCCUUGAUUCGGCUCGCCAGGAGAAAAUCGAACAACUCGAGAGAUCUGGCGAGGAGACAAGGAAGAUUUUAAUCGAAACUGAGUAGAGGCUAGAGGCUGCCCUUGCUGACCAUAACCUCGCAAAGGGCGAGAUUGAGCUUCUGAGAUCAGAGCUUGACAGGGUCAAAACAACUGCCGAGGAGCUCGAGCGCAAAAAUGAGUCUCUUUCCGAACUCAAAGAUCGAGAUGUUCGCAAAAUAUCUCACGAUGCUCGGAAAGAGGUUAAAGGAGCUGGCCAAAAGUUUCUUCUUGCUGUGCAGGAAUUUAUUACUGCAGAUAAAGCUUGGAACAAACUUAACUCCGAGCGUGAUGAGAUGAAGAGCAAUCUCGAUCUGAUCAAGGAGAUAGAGGACGGGAAGGUCAACUUGGCUGAGGAAAAGGAAACAGUUGGCGCUGAGCUCGCUGAGACUGAAGCUAAGCUAAAUACUGCUCCUCAGCCAUAUUUGAAUUUGCAGCAGUUUGCUUCUGAGUUCGCUGAUUCCCCUCCAUUGACUGAGCCAAAUAUUGGUUUGUCUCUGGACAAGAUGAUGUUAACAGGUUCUCCUCGCGCUCAUUUUAAUGAGUUCGGAACCAAUGUCGACAGAAUCUCCUCGGGACGAGCUCAAGGGUUCUCUGGUCGUGAUCCUGCCAUCUCCUCGAUUAUGGGAGACGACCUUGAAUCGAAGAGCGAAACUCCUCAAGAUGCUAGCUCGCUUAAUCCUGAGGUGGUUUCCACAACUCAGAACGCUGACGUCGGGAGUGCUCUUGUCUCAAAUCAAGCAGGAGAUGAAGGCGGUUCGCCUAUGAUUGAAUGAUGGUGAUUGCAUUCACCUUUUAUGGGGAUUGUCCCUUUUAAUUUUAAGACAUGAAAUUCGCUUUGUUGGCCAUGGGGCUGUUUAUUUCUCCUUCGAGUUUUCUGCCCAAGGGGGCUUUUGUUAUUGUUUUGAAUAAUUUGCCCAAGAGGGUUCUUAAUUAAAAUUUCUUUAGAAAGAAAUAUUUAAUCUUGGUGGAAACCAUCGAUUUUACCUGGAGGGUUUGCAAAGUCCUCCUAAUCGAAGUGGUUUAGGAUUAUAGGAGAGAUAGGCUGAUCAGACCUACUUGCUUUUUUUAAAGAAAAAACAUUGGAAUUUUUCCUCGGUCUCUCGAUUGCGAGGUUAGAGCUCGGCUUACAAGAACACUUUGCAAUACUUCAAAUGUGUUCGAUUAGGGAAAUCUCUAGUGAGAACUGUUUGCUUUUCCUAAGAGAAAAAAAAGGUGUGAUACCAUUUAUUGAUAGUCUUCUAAUUUUGAGUUCGAAAUUAAGUUCGCCUACUAGGUGUUAAGUGAUACUUGAAUAACCUAUAUUUCGUAGGUCUUGUUUGUGCAUGUACACGAAAAUCGAGAGGUCAUAACAGUCAGAUCAAUAGAUUGACGUUUAACUUUCUUUUUCAAUAAAUACUCGAGUGAGUGCCCUUACAUAUUUUUUCUAUAUAAGGAGAGUUGGAUUUUGGAAAUUUUCCAAUAGAUACUCUUUUAUAAGGAACUUUGCAGUUCUUCUUUUUUGGAUCUACGAUGACAUCUCCCCAAGGCGAACCUUGUGGUCCUAAUUCGCCACGACUCCCUUCAAGCGAAUCUCUUUUCCCGACGGGGGAUGGAUUCACUCCACAAGGGGUGGCUAUUCCUUGUUUUCUUUCUUCCCUGUCUAGGGAAGAACAGAUCGAGUGCCAUGAAUUCAUGGAGCAGGUUUGAACCAAAUACCAAUGGUUUCAAAGUCUUACUUGAUAGAUUCGUAAUGUAUCUGUUCUUUUGCAGAUCACGGAAAGAUACGUUUUCUUCUGCUCCGAAAGGCAACGCCUCGGAAUGAAACGCCGUAACCUCGAGGACCGGAUUGCUAGAACAGAAAGGAAGAUCCGACAUUUGGAGUCGGACGUUCACAACUGGGAGAGGAGGGGAUUUGAUUCUAUCGCCCGCAUUCCCGGCUGUCUUCGAGAACACAUCAGGUUCCUGAAGAAGCAUUGGGAUAUCUACCAAAGGAGCCUCGAACCCGACGAACGUGAAGACGGUUCGUCAGGAGACGAAGUUCCUUCUGCGAACCCCCCUCCUUCUUAGUUUUUUUUUAUAUUAUUAUGUAACAUACUAUUGGGCUAGAGGCCCUGUAACAUUAAUUAUAUUUCCCUUUUCGCCUUAAAUUUGCCGAUUUACUCAAAUCUUAUUUAAUGCGUUUAUCUAGGGAAUAUAAUUAGUAAUUAACUCGAUUACAUUUUCCACGAAAGUAGUAAUUUCAGAUUUGGGAAAUCGUCAAUUAACCCUCUUAAAUGUGAUUGAGUAUUUUUCGAAUAUAAAGCAGAUUUAGAUCGUUAUUGAAUUUAAUCAACAAUAAUUCUACAAAAAUGUUUGAGGAAGGUAAUUUCUCAGAGAAUCCCUCCGACUCGAUUAAAAAGAUAAGUGAUGAUCUUCCGGAAACGCCAGACAUCGAUCUUGUAAAAACGGAAGCCAACGGCGAACCAGAAGAGUCACGCCCAUUGGGGUGGGGAACCAGCAUUCAGGUUCCAAAUGUGUUAAUUGAGAGAUUAUCAGCUCAAGAUCGUGUCAAGGCCAAGGAGUUUAUUACCAAGGUAUUAUUAAGCCUAGUAACCUAACUCCUUUCGUUGUUUGCUAAACGAAGCGUUUCAUUUUCUUCAGCUUGUCAUACGGCACGACGAGCUCGGAAAUGAGAGAAAAGAGAUUAGGAAAAGGAUAAUGGAACUAGAGAAGCGUCACCUUGAUAUUGCUCGCGAGCUUCAUCGCCUCGAAGCCCAUCCUUCCGAUUGGAUCGAACUAGGACUUCAGGAGUACGGAAACAUGCCAGGUUGUAUUAUGAGCAUCGUUGACCUCGCAGGUCAAGGAGCAAAGUUAUUCCGUAACUCAAGACCCUUCUAGAUCUGGUUCUAGCUUAUCUAGAAAUAUUUAUUUAUACAUCGUUCGCAAUGUAUUUCUAUAUUCAUGCUCGAAUAUUGAAUUUAUAAAAACAAGACUCCAUGAUUGGAAUAAUAUUUUUAUUUUUAUGUUAUAGUUGGACUCGUGUUUAGCGAGCUGCCUACGUACCCAAAAUAGGAUCAAGCCAAAUCGUAGUUCGAUUGUGUUUGCUUUAGCAAUAGAACUUUUUCAAGUUGAUGAUGUUCCAAGGCCUUUGAACAGGGUUUCCGUCAAGGUCUUGUAAACGGUAAACACCAUUUCGGAUUUUUUCUGUGAUUUGAUAAGGACCUUCCCAGUUAAUACCGAGUUUUCCAGCUCCUUCUUCUUUUGUGUUAUCGAACACUCAUCUUAAAACAAAGUCUCCUACAUUUAAAGGUCUGUUUUUCAACUUUGAGUUAUAGUACCAAGCGGUCAAUUGCUGAUAGUUUUGAAGUCGAAUAAGGGAUUGAUCCCGUCUUUCAUCGAUUGUAUCAAGAAUGUCUUCUAAUAAUUAAGAAUUUAGUUCUUCGUUAAGAGGAGCUUCGCUCCGGCGUAAACCAGGAACAUUCAAUUCGGUUGGGACUACAGCUUCCAUCCCAUAUACUAAUGAGAAUGGAGUUUCUCCUGUUGCUCGUCUCGGGGUUGUUCGAUAUGCCCACAACACAGGUUGCAGCUCGUCAUACCAACCACAUUUCCGAGCAUUCAAACGCUUUUUAAGAUUGCUGAGAAUGGUUUUAUUGGAAGCUUUCGCUAGCUCAUUUCCUUGAGGAUACCUUGGCAUUAAUAGCUAAGUUUUAUUUCCCAAGCGGAACAAAAAUCUUCAAAUUCAUUUGAAAUGAAUUGAGGACCGUUGUCCGUUACUAUUUGUAAGAAACUCCACGACGACAAAUGAUAUGUUUCCACAAGAAUGUUUUUAACACAGAAUCUUGUAUAUUUACGUAGGCUUCUGCUUCGAUCCAUUUGGAAAAUAGUCUGUUAGAACUAAUAAGUAUUGGACGCCUCGCGUUGAGCGAUGCAUCGGACCAACUAUAUCCAUUGACCACCUCAUGAAAGGGUAUGGAGCGGAUAUUGAUAAAAUUUCAGAUGGCUGGUGAAUAAGAAGAGCGUGCAUCUGACACUUUUUACACCGUUUGGCGUACUCGAUGCAAUCAGAAAUCAUAGUUGGCCAGAAAUAUCCUAACUGUUUGAUUUUGAAAGCCAUUGCUCGUCCCGAAGAAUGACUACCCCAAAGCCCUUCGUGGACCUCGCUUGUUACUAUUUCAACCUCGGGUCCGAAAAUACAUAAAAGAUAAGGAUCACUGACGCCUCGCUUGUACAACAACUCUUUAAUUAUACAAUACUUAGCGCUGAUGAUUUUUAAUUUGCGAGCUUGCCAUUAGUUUGAUGGUAGUUCUCCACUAAGAAUGAAAUUUUUGAUGGGUACCCUCCAGUCAGCCCCCCAAUCAUUAGCGGAAGUAUUAUCCUUGAGUAUAAACUUCCUUGGUUCGGGUUCGGAAGGAAUAUCAGGAUCUUCGAUUGUUUCCCGAACUUCUUCAUCAUCCGGAGGUGUCUGUUCAGUUCGAGACAGUUCUUUAGUGGGACAUCUUGAUCCUUCAACUUUCUUCUUGGCUUUCUUUUAGGAAGUUCCAGUGGUGAAGUAAGUUCAUCAUCCUGAGAUUUAACUCGUGAUCUGGUAACGACAAACGAACUAUUUUCAUUUCUGGAACUUAAUUUUGGAGUUUCGAUAUGUUCGGCCUCCAAAAUGUUAUCGUUUUCUGUUUCUUCAACCGAAAUACUUCGCGAAGAAAUACAUUCAACAGGAUAACUCGUUUGAGCUCAUGAUCCGAGGUGGAGGCUAGGGCAGCUAAAGCGUCCGCCGAAGUGUUUUCUCCUCGAAGUAUUCGAACUAAUUCGAACUCUUUGAAUUUUCCGCCUAAUUUUUUGACAGCUUAAAGAUAGGCUUCCAUUCGAGGAGUCUUAGCUUUGUAUUCUCCUGCAAACUGGUUUACAACUAGCUGAGAAUCACAAUAAGCUAUUAUUUUUUCUGCUCCAAUUGCAAGAGCAACCGAAGUCCUGCUAAGAGAGCUUUGUAUUCUGCUUCAUUGUUCGAAGCUGGAAACAUUAAUCGAAAUGAUUAUUCGAUUAUUUCCUUUGUCGGAGUUUUGAGCCUAAUACCGAUUCCGGACCCUUGUUUAGAAGAAGAGCCAUCUACAUGUAAUUUCCAUGUAGAGUUUGUUUCAAUAAGGAUUCCGUCAUCCGGUGGCAGUUUGGUCAGAAAAUCAGCCAGAACUUGUGCCUUUGCGCUAGUUCGACUUUUGUAUUCUAUAUUGUACUCACUGAGUUUGAUAGCCCAUUUCGCCAAUCUACUGGACUGACUUGGUCCAUGAAGAAUUGAGCGAAGCGGAUGGGAAGUCAGAACUUCUAUCGGAUGAGAUUGGAAAUAAGGUCUUAGUGUUCUAGCAGAUAUGACUACUGCUAAAGCUAAUAUUUCCAUCAUGGUAUAUCUUGUUUCCGGACUGGUAAGAGAUUUACUUAUGUAGAAAAUCGGCUUCUGAUCACCUCGAUCUUCUCGGACUAAAACCCCACUUACAGAAUGAUUAGAAACCGAGACAUAAAGAUAAAGUUUCUCAUCUGAUUCAGGUUUUGAGAGAACCGGUGGUGUUGUCAAAUAAGUUUUGAGUUGAUGGAAAGCUGCUUCGCAUUGAUCAUCCCACCGAAACUUUUUGUUCCCUUUUAAAAUCUGAUAAAAAGGGAGACAUUUAUCGGUGGAUUUCGAGAUGAAACGAUUCAACGCGGCAAUUCUGCCCGUCAAUCGCUGGACCUCUUUAAUGUUUUUUGGUGAAGGCAUCGUGAGGAAAGCGUUAAUCUGAUUAGGAUUUGCUUCUAUUCCUCUUUCCGUGACUAUGUAGCCUAGGAAUUCUCCGGAAGGCACACCAAAAGAACAUUUAGUAGGAUUUAAUUUCAUCCCGAAUUCAUUCAGAAUUUUGAAACAUUGCUCAAGAUGUGUGAUGUGCUCGGAUUUCUUAAGAGAUUUUACGAGCAUAUCAUCGAUAUAAACUUCCAUCGUUUUGCCCAAAUGUUUUGAAAACAUUUUGUUAACUAGACGUUGGUAUGUUGCCCCGGCAUUUUUUAGACCGAAUGGCAUAACUUUAUAACAGUAGAUUCCUCUAUUUGUUAUGAAAGAUGUUUUCUCUUCAUCUUCGGGAUUCAUCAUGAUCUGAUUAUACCCAGAAAAUGCAUCCAUGAAUGUCAAGAGUUCGUUUCCGGCUGUUGAUUGUACGAGCCGAUCGAUAUGAGGGAGAGGAAAACUGUCUUUUGGACACGCUUUGUUAAUGUCAGUGAAAUCGACACAUAAUCUCCACUUUCCAUUUUUCUUUUUGACUACCGCGGUGUUUGCUAACCAGUCCGGGUAUUUUACUUCUCUAGUCGAACCAAUUUUCAAAAGCUUAUCAACUUCGUCAUUGACCGCUUGUGCUCGGUCAGGACCCAGUUUUCUUCUUUUUUGCUUUAUUGGUUUAAAACUGGGAUCGACGUUUAAAUCAUGGGUAAUGAUAUUUUUGUCGAUUCCAGGCAUAUCUUUCGCCGACCAGGCAAAAGUAUGUCUAUUUUCUCUUAGGAAGGUUACCAAUUGAUCUUUGAUUUCUGAAUCUAAAGUAGUACCGAUUUUUACUUUUCGAUCUAGAAAUUCGGGAUCAAUUUCAAUUUAUGUGGUAACUUCACUCGAACUGAGACCACUUGGGUAACGCGAGGUGCUUUCUUGCUUAGCAUUUAUCAUUAAUUGCUAUUUGAGCUUUAAACGAUGUCCCAUGAGGUAGCAAGAUCGCGACGUUUCCUGAUCUCCUCGAAUGGUUCCAAUUCCACCAGGAGUCAGAAAUUUCACACAUUGGUGAUAGGUUGAAGGUAUAGCCUUCAUUUGGUAUAUCCACGGAGUUCCGAGAAUUAUAUUUUAAGCGGCCGGACGGUCGAAAACAAUAAAUUCAACGAUUUUUGGAAACCCUGCUGCGAGCACUGGUAGUUUUAUGUUUCCUAAGGACAUAGAUGUGUCGCACGUGAAAGCUACUAACGGUGCCGGUGGACCGAUAAUGUCAGCUUUACUGAUUCCCAUUCUCUGCAAAGUGCUUAGAAAUAUGAGAUCUACCGAGCUUCCAGUAUCAAUUAGACACCUUGUCACUUCGAAGUUCGCAACAUCUAAAGUUAUCACAAGAGCAUCAUCAUGAGGCCCAGCUAAUCCUUGAGUGUCUGAAUCGUCAAAGGAGAUAGAAGGUAUUUUUUCAUUUGAUUGAAAACCCACAGCGGUUUGAAUUGCUGCUGAUUUCUUGUGCCUCUUGAUCGAUCUGAUCGAAUCUCGGCAUAAUUUGGACCCUCCCAUUAUAACAUCGAUCCUUUUUUAGGAGUGUUCGGAGUUACGGGCCCAUUGGGCUUAUGUUUCUUUUCAGGAGGAUUAGAAGCUUCGGAAUCUUCUUUUUCUUUGUGGUAUGAUUCCACAAAUUCCUCGAUAUUGAAAUUAGCGAGCUCUCCAGCUGUCCACAGUUCGGUGAUGUGCUUUUUGAGUACGCUGCAAUCUUUAGUGGAGUGCCCGUUUACUUUGUGAAUAUUGCAAUAGGCACUUUCAUCUCUAACCCAAGUAUUAGGAAGAUUGUAUCUUCCUCUGCUUGGGGAGGGUUUUCCUACAGCAUUGGUAGAAGGAUUAACUCCGAACCGUUUUUGAUCUUUUGGUUCAAACUUUUUAGUUGGAUUCGCAACGACUAAUUUAGCUACUCGAUGCUUUUUAGCGAGGCUAAGCUUUUCUUCUUCUACCUCCAUCUAAUUAGUAGCUCUGAAUAAAGCAUCUUGGAUGGUACUUGGAUGGUUGACGAUAAUUUCUUCUCGAAAUCGGGAUUCAUGCCAGAGUCGGUUCCUUAAAGCAGAAAGGGCAGCAGCAUGUGAUACCCCAGGAAUUUUGGCUAUCACUUCUUUGAACUUAGCGAUAUAUUUGCAAAGUGGUUCAUUCUGACCUUGGGUUAAAUUCCAAAGAUCCGCAUCAGAAGUUGCCUUUUCCAUGAACAUGGAAUAUUGUUUUAGGAAUACAGAGGAUAAUUCCUUAAAACUAUCAAUAGUUUCUGGUUCUAACUGGGUGAACCAUAACAGAGCCGGUCCGGAAAGAUUUUCGGAAAAUAGUUUGCAAAAUCCGGCAUCUUCCUUGCCUGGUUCUAGAUCAAUUCUGCCUGCGGCGAUCUAAAAAGCAGCGAGGUGAUUUUUAGGAUCUCCUUUACCGUCAUAAGUUGGUAACUUAACCUUUCGAGAAUCUUUGAUCCGAAGGUUCGAGAUUCUCGAGGUAAAGGAAGUUCGACGAGUUUCUUCGAUUACUCGAUCGAUCUCAAGCGCCGAACUGGUCGCUUGAUAAAAUUUCGAUUUCAUUUCAUUAAGCUCUUGGCGAACUUUGAUGAAGUCGUCUGAUAGGGUGACAUCAGGAUCUUCUAUAGAAAAUCCGUCGUCAACAGGAAGAUUUCCCUGACCCUGGGGAAUUUCUUCCCUGGUUGGGUUAGUCGCAUCUCCUGCGGCUGCCGGAUUGUUAGUACUAACAGGCUGGCCUGUUUGAGGAGUUCGAGUAAUCCCAGGUGUCGCAAAUAACCUGCGCUGAUGCGUUGAUGUUCGCGUUGAGGACAAAUUAUCUAAACGGCUUGAAACAACGUUCUGCGCGUUUGACAAAUUUGUCUGGGUAGUUUGAACACUCGUUAAGGUUUGCUCGAUUGAGUUUAACCUUUCACCAAAAGUGGUGUUGGUAGUAAUAAGUGUACCCAUCUGAUUGGUCAGAUCGGUGGUUGUCUGAGUAAGCAAGACAAUUGCAUCGCUCAAUGCUUGCUGAUCAGCCAUAAUUUCUUGGUUGGGAAAGAAAGAUUUUGAGAUUAAAGAGUUUUGUUGUAACUCCCCAUAGGCGGCGCCAAAAUGUGGAUGUAGGAUUCACACUCGAUUAUCUUUAAGUAUUUUUGUGGAGAAAAACUCUUGUUAAAUAAGGAAGUAAAUAUGAGAAUUUGAAAAGGAAAACAACCAAGAAAAGGAGUAAAGAAAUUUGACGAAAGAUGAAGUGCAAAAUGCCUUGCGAAAAAUAGUAAAGAGAGAAAAAUGUAUUGUAUUGUUUAGAAGUAAUUAGUAAUGAGAUUCGUCCUCCUCAAACACAUGCGUUUGAGGUUGUUUUUAUAGAGAAAACAAGAUCAAUACGGUCAUUUACUGCUUAUAAUCGCGUUGAUCCGCAUUAAUCAUGUAAGUUACAUUUUGACCAAAACGGCUUGAAUUUGAACUAUCUUGGGCUUCGCGUGGAUCUUCCGAACUCUUUCUUGUUGACUCCGAACUCCCGCGUCUUGACGCUGCAGCGAGCCUCGAACAAUAUUCUCCUCGCUUCGGCCUUUCUCUAUGCGAACUGUAUGUUGAAUAAGAACGAACUUCGUACUGGUAAAGAUCGGACUCUUUUAGUAAACUGAAUCGAACUCCCGACUGGUUAAGCUCGAUUCUCAUAACAAAAUAUCUUUAAUUCCAAGAGGAUUAUUAUGUAAUAAUGACGUGGACAGAUCCAAAUGGAUCCUACCAAAAAUGUGUGAAAUCUGACCCUAACACGAACCCUAAGAAAAACUCUCCCUUCAAUCCACCAUAAUGAAAUCUGAAUCACCAACAAAGAUCCCAGAUCCACGUUGCCAGAGAAAUCGAAUGCCUGGUCGGGCUAAUCCAUCGGUUAAAAACCUCUGUCACCAAUGAAACCAAAGAAACCAAUCGAACCCUAGGAGAAAUUCUCUCAUCAAUCCACCAGAAAGAAGUUUCAAUCGCCCAUAACGAUCCCAGAUCCACCGUUGCUUGAUUAAUCGAACGCAUGGUCGGGCUAAAACCCUAGCGCUGUCGCCGCCAUCAUCGGGUUGAGAGCGUUUUUUUUUUUGUUUUUUUUCUUAGAAAGCAACUUGAUAAUUUGGUUUGAUUCACGAAACCAUUGAUAUUUAGUUAAUCUAUGUUAUUAUUUCAAGUAAUCUUAAAUUAAGACCUCUCACCACUUUAGUUUCGAAUUCGAUUUCCUUUUUCUAUAUUCAUCAUCUUUUUCCCUAAUUUCCUUUUAUUUCCUUACGGUAUUCUAAGUAUUAUGAAGUAAGAAAAAAAAAAAUAUUAUAAAUACGAUGUUAGGCGACCAACGACUAAUUUUUGUCAUUUAAAUCUUUAGUUAUUCCAUCAAUAAUCACGAAUAAUAUUUGUCAAAUUCCACACUCAACUACAUACAUCUACUAUAUUGAGAUCCUAAAUUUCUUUGUUUUGUCUAAGUUUUGUACGUUCUAUAAAGUGUUCCACGGUACAUAAAUUUCCUAACCUUUGAUAUUUUAAAGAACAUACAUGAUGAGAUCAAAUAGCUCUCAAAAAUAAUAUUCAUAUAAAAUCAAAUUGUACUCUCAAGUCGUUUAUGUAGUAUUUUAAUUUAUGAUCAUUCAAGAAAUAUAUAACAUUAGUUGCAGAACAUUAGAAGUAAUCAAAAGGCAACUUAAUUCAUUAUUUCAAAAUAAUAUGUGGACAGGAAAGUUGAUAGGAACUAAUUCCUAAUAAAUUAUGGCCUCACCCCUGAUUAUAAAUAUACUAACAAGGCUUUGGUUGAUAAUUAUUCAUCUACUAUAUUAUAAUCACUAUAUAAUUACCAAGUUUUGGCUCUAAGUGGUAAUCAAAGCCUCAAUAUGUAUUAAAUUAUGUAAAGUACUAAUUUGAUUAAUCAUCAUGAGUCAUAUCUCAUGGCCAUAAUUUAAUCGUAUAUCCAGUCAGAUAUAUAUAGACAGUAAGGCAAAUCAGAGCCAUGUAUAUUAAUAUAUUAAGAAAGUAUUAAUGUGUAGGUCUUGAGUUGCAUUGCAUCAUGUAUUCAUAUUUCAUAGCAACAUAAUUACUUGAACGGGUUUCCACGUCCAUAAUUUAAAAUGUAAAUUCGACUAUUCAAAUGUAUUAUUAACAAAUAAUUUAAAAAUGGUUGUAUUUUUCUUUAUUUCCAUGAAAUGUGUUUUUUUUUUUUUUUUUUUUGUUAAACCGUAGAAGUACUCAAUCUUUGCUUCACAAUCAUUCCAGUUAGUCAGUAAAUAUUUCCAUACAAUGGUUACUUACAUUAUAAGAUCUAAAACCAUUUACAAGAGCAAAUGGAAAUUCAUGCCAUAUAUGUAACAUGUAAUAACAAGAAAUAAAUUCGAGUGAUUUUAAUCAGUAAAGAACGUAACAUAUUUGUUUUAGGUUGAAGAUAUGUGAAUUAUUCUUAAGCCAAAAAAAAGCACAAGUUAAAUAAUGUGGUUAUUAUUGAUAGGCUUCUCUUGAUCAUUAAAGUUGAAGAUCAACGUUUAUUCUGCGAAUUUCUUAUUACCAUUCACAGUUUUCAUUGCAAUACAAUUUACUUCUUAACAAAAAUAAAAUGUUUUAGAUUCAAAUAUUGCAAUUUACUCUAUCUUUUUUUUUUUUUGGGGGGGGGGGGGGGGGGCAAACAAGUGAAAAAACAGAAGAAAAAGUAUUAGAUUUUGAUAUUUCAAUCUUAUCAAAUUUUUUUUGUUAAAUACUAAAUAUUAUUUAUUCAGAAGUUGAUUAUAUGUAACUGAAAUCCUCAAUAUUUCAAACACACUGAGUGUAAAUGGUAACAUGAAAAACAUAUUCAGCCAUAUUCAGCCAGAUUCAGCAAUUCCGCAGUUACCAUUUGCAAAAAACUAAAUUCAACCAGAUUCAACAGUUUUUCCAACAUCAACAGAUACAUAGUAUGUUCAUUUCAGAUAAAAAUUUGGAUUAUAGCGAUUCACAACUCGAAUUAAAAUAUUUUUGGCUAUUAAAAAUUACACAUCAAAUUUAUAUUUUAAAAUAAGUUAGAUCAUACAAAUACGAUAUAUGAAUAAUUCAUACACAUAAAAUCAUUACCAGAAUCGACAAGAGACAUAUUUAUAUUCAGAUAUCUAUAGAUAAGUUUAGAUAAUUUUAAUAAAUUUUAGAUACUUAAAUAUAAUUUUCCAAAUUUUUGCAAAAAUAACUCAUACUUAUGCUAAAGUAAUAUUUAAAAUAUCAAAUUAAAAAAAUUGUUAAUCAUCCUAAUCAUAUUAAGGAUUUAAACUACUAGAGAACAAUGAAAAAUCAAUAAGAUAAUCUAUACUAUAUUAUGAUGUUUAUUUUUAAAUUAAUUUUUCAAUAAAACUUUGACAAAGCUUUCUAUUAAUUAAUUAUAUCUUUUUAAUAGUUCAAAAAUUAGAUUUGGAAGAACAACUCAAUUUUGCUAAAAAUAUAUUAAUUCUAGUAUUUAUUUAUUGGUAUAAGAGUUUAUUAGACAAUUAGAUAAUUUUAUCUAUUUUAUUUAGAUAUUUUUCCUUAGUUAUUCUAUUAAUAUUCGUAAUUAUUUGACGAUAUUUUAGUUAAAGUCUUAAUUAUUUCGACAGAUUCUGCUGAAAAGCACAAAAACAUUCAGCUAUAUUCAGCGGUUACCAUUUGAAAAUGUAAAAAUUCAGCCAUAUUCAGCUAAAAAUUACUAAAAAUUCAGCCAGAUUCAGUAAUUCAGCCGGAUUCAGCCAGAUUCUUCGGUUACCAUUUAGACCCACUGUCUUUCAUCUUAUCAUUAAGUACAUACAUCAUACGGUCAUAUGCAAAGAAAAAUACAAACAUAUUAAAUUACUAUACCCAAGUGGAUUUUAGUGUCAUGUAUUUGAGUAUAUAGCCUGGUCAAGUUUACACACUUAGCUCUUGAAUAAAAUAUUAAGAAGAGGAAGUCACUCAUUCACGCAAUUGAGUAAAGAUGUAAUAAAUAAUCUACUUACGUGUAUAUUAAAAAAAUCAUAAUGAAUUGAUUAGAUAGAAAAAAUCCGUUGGAUCAUUUUUUUUUUUGGAACAAGAUUAAGUAUUUAUAUUGUUUUCAAAAUUUUUGACAGAAGUAACAAACUACAACACAACACAAACACCAAGAAGUACAAAAGGAAACCCAACAAGCAAAAUCCCAUAUAUUGAAUUGUUGCCUAAUGCCUAUUACUGUAGUAACAAAAUUACAAAAUCAUCAAAAGUUUGGUUUUGCAACUAGUUUCCUUUUCUUUUCCUUUUGGUUGAACGUGACCAGCUUCACACUACAAAAAAACUGUACAUUUAUAGCACCUAAUAAUAGCACGAUUUUCACAUUUGCUAUCUAAGAUGAGUUUGUAAUUUGCUUACCAUAUGAUAGCAUUUGAUAAACGCUAUAAUAGAGUUUCAAUAAGCGGGAAGUAAAAUCACUUAUACCGCCAAACACUUAGCCAAAUUUACUAAAACGCAAAAACUUUCUUCUUCUCUUAACACUUUGUCGCGACUCUCUUCUUCUCUUAACACUUAGAGAAACGAAACCCUUAAACCUUCAAAUCUCCAAAUCUAUCGCCGUCGCCAAUUCCGGCGAAAUCUCUCGCCGUCGCCGCUCUCUGAAACACCGCCGGAUCUAAUCUCAGAAGAGCUGAUCCAAUUGAAGGUGAUUUUAUCCGACUCUCUCUCACUUUCACUUUACCCAGUUGUCGAAACCCUUAAAUCUUCAAUUGGAGCUCAAAUCUGUUUAUGUGUUUCGAUUUCCUGAUGAAAUUGGAACAAUAAACGGGUUUUUUUUAUGACAUGCAAGAGAUAUGUUUAUGUGUUUAUGUGUUUGCUCAAACAUGUUUAGCUCAAGUCUGUUUAUGUGUUUAUGUGUUUGCUCAGAUCUGUUUAUGUGUUUUGAUUUGGUCAUUAUAAGUCUCUACGAUUUCGUUUUAGCUUAGUAUGUUAACAUUUGCAAUGAAAGAAUAAAAAUUUUGGUUAUGUAUCUGAUUUUAGAACAUUUGUUUAAGAUCCGUUCAAACAAGCAUUGCUGUUUCUUAUUCUUUUUUGUCAAAAAGAACUUGCUUUACUUCCCUUAUUUCCUUCUCCAGUUGUUCAAUCUGUAUAAUUUAAGGUUUACUUUUUAGUUUAGUCGAAAUACACAUUCUUGGUCAGUAUUAAGAGAUGCAAGAGUGAUUGAAAAUUGUUUUCUUUUGAGGCCAGACUCUGGUUGAUUGACAUACCAAAUCCAAUUGAGUUUCUUGUUAAAAAGCUCGUAAAACACGCUAUGAGUCUGUUUGAGAUAUGAGUUUUAUUUUCUGUAUCCGAGCAAAGCUUCUCCACCAUUUUACAUAUAGGUUGUGUAUAUAAGUUAAGAACAUGUUUUGAUGAUUAUAGUUUGGUUGUGUAUCUUGGAUAUUUCAUUACUUUGGUUUUGUAUAUGAAAGUUUGAAUAUAUAUAUAUCGUUUUUAUAUGAGAUCAAACAGUAAUAUCUUAUACUCUUUCUCUACUUAUGUUUUGCAGGUGUUGAUCAGUGCAAUAAAGGAAUUUUGAAGCUGUUCUUUAUCUCCAAUCACAGUACAGGUUAAGUGCUUCUAUCUUUGUCUCUUAUGAUGAUUAUUUGUAUUGCAGUUUCAUUACUCUGAAUAUAUAACUCGUUUUUAUGACUUUUAAAACUUAAACUCUUUCUCUAACUAUGUUUUGCAAGUGUUGCUGAGUGCACUAAAGGAAUUUUGAAGGUUUUCUUUAUCUCUAAUCACAGGACAGGUUAAUAGCUUCUUUCUUUGUCUCUUAUGAUGAGUCUUUGUACUGCAGUUUCAUUACUUUGACUAUAUAAAUCGUUUUUAAUGACUUUUAAAACUUAAACUCUUUCUCUAAUUAUGUUUUGCAAGUGUUGCUGAGUGCACUAAAGGAAUUUUGAAGGUUUUCUUUAUCUCUAAUCACAGGACAGGUUAAUAGCUUCUUUCUUUGUCUCUUAUGAUGAGUCUUUGUACUGCAGUUUCAUUACUUUGACUAUAUAAAUCGUUUUAAGAUCAAACUGUAAUAUGACUUUUAAAACUUAUACUCUUUCUCCAAUUAUGUUUUGCAAGUGUUGCUGAGUGCAUUGAUGGAAGUUUAAAGAUUUUAUUUCUCUCCAUUGACAGGACAGGUUAGUAGCUUCUUUCUUUUUGUCUCUUUUGUUUGUUUAUUUUUGUCUGGUUGGUUUGUUGUUAAUGCUGUUAGGUUGUUUCAAACAUACUGUUUUGUUUUGAGUUUGUUUAUAUUGUUUUAAUAUAUGUGAUAUGGUUGUUUCUCUCUAGCUCUAAAAGAACGUAGGUAUAUUUGUGUCUGAAUUGUUUUAAAGUACAAAGUUAUUUUUUGAUGAGUCUGAUUUUUUCAAUAACUCUGUUCUUAUAUGAUGUUAAGGAUACUAAAGGUUUUAAAUUAAGCUUAUAUCAUAUAAUGCUGGACAAAGAUUGGGUGCAUCUUUGCAGGUAUUAAAUUUAAUUAUAUAGAUGUUAAGUUUUCAAUAGGGGUUUGUAGAUUUUUUUUAUUUCUUUCUUUUUUAUUUUUUUUCUCUUCAUUCUUAAAUGAAGAGCUGAUCCAGCUUAUCAAAGAGGGGCUUCAGAUUUUGUAAGAGUUGUGUCUGCGGCUUUGGUAGAUGGUGAUAUGAUUGUAUGUCCUUGCAUCGACUGUCGUAAUAUAGAUCGUCACAUAGGAAGUGUUGUAGUUGACCAUCUUGUUAGAAGAGGUAUGGAUGAGGAUUAUAAGCGGCGGUCUGAUUGGUAUCAACAUGGAGAGUUAAAUUCUGGGGUUGAAGGUGACAGUAAAUUCAGUCAAAUGGAUGAGAUAUAUGGGUUAUAUCAAGCUGCUGAGUUCAUGGAUGACGACUUUGUUGGAGAUGAUGAACCUGAUGAGACCGCAGAUUGUGAGAACAAGAAAGAAGAUGACUUCUUUGCAAAGCUUGCAGAUGCUGCAUCACCCUUAUAUCCAAGUUGUGUGAAUCACAGUAAACUCUCGGCAAUUGUGUCCCUAUUUAGACUUAAGACACAAAAUGGGUGGUCUGACAAGAGUUUCAAUGAUCUUUUGGAGACACUAUCGGGGAUGCUACCGGAGGACAAUGUGCUACAUACAUCACUAUAUGAUGUGAAGAAAUUUUUUAAGUCAUUUGAUAUGGGCUACCAGAAGAUUGAUGCUUGUGUUAAUGAUUGCUGCUUAUUCAGAAAGAAGUACAAGGAUCUCGAGAAUUGUCCUAAAUGCAAAGCUUCUAGAUGGAAGACGAACACGGUUAAUGGUGAAGUAAAGAAAGGUGUUCCACAGAAAGUGUUACGCUACUUUCCAAUAAUCCCACGGCUGAAAAGAAUGUUUAGAUCUGAGGAGAUGGCUAAGGACUUGAGGUGGCAUCAUAGUAACGAGAGCAACGAUGGGAAACUCCGCCACCCUGUGGAUUCAGUAACAUGGGCUCAGAUGAAUGCAAAAUAUCCUUCCUUUGCAGCUGAAGAAAGAAAUGUGCGGCUUGGUCUUUCAACGGAUGGAUUUAAUCCAUUCGACAUGAAGAACAACAACUAUAGUUGCUGGCCUGUUUUGCUAGUAAACUAUAAUUUGCCACCAGACUUAUGCAUGAAGAAGGAGAACAUCAUGCUUACAUUGUUGAUACCUGGACCACAACAGCCUGGUAACAGCAUUGAUGUAUACUUAGAGCCGCUCAUAGAUGAUCUAAUUCAUCUGUGGAACAAUGGAGAGACGACAUAUGAUGCAUUUAGUAAAUCAACUUUUAAUCUUAAGGCAAUGCUGCUUUGGACGAUUAGUGACUUCCCGGCUUAUGGGAAUCUUGCAGGCUGCAAAGUAAAGGGUCAGAUGGCAUGUCCAUUAUGUGGCAAAAAUACAGCAGUUUGUGGUUGAAGUUCAACCGAAAACAUGUGUAUAUGUGCCAUCGGAAGAGACUGCCAGCAACGCAUAGUUUCAGAUUAAAGAAGUCAUGGUUUGAUGGAAAAACUGAACCAGGGAUAAAGGGAAAAAUAUUGACUGGAAAAGAAAUUUCUCAAAACCUGAAAAAUUUCAAAAAUGACUUUGGAAAUCUGAAACGAUCUGGACGCAAGAGAAAAAAGACUGAGUCUAAUGGUAUGGAGUCUGAUGACGAGGAGUUAUCAAGUGAGUCGGAAGAUGAUGAAGAAGAUGAAGUAAAUGUAGAUGAGGAUGAGUUAUCAAGAUGGAAGAAAAGGUCUAUAUUUUUCAAGUUACCGUAUUGGGAGGUAUGUUUAAACUUCGAUAUUAUUUAAUUUUCAAAUUUUAUUCAUUAAACUUUGUUUAACGUUAGAGUUAAUUAUUGUAUUUGUUCUAUGUAUUUUAUAGGAUCUUCCUGUGAGGCAUAACUUAGAUCUUAUGCAUGUAGAAAGGAAUGUGGCUGCAAGUAUUCAUGUAGAAAGGAAUGUGGCUGCAAGUAUUCUUUCUACUAUGUUACAUUGUAAGAAAUCAAAGGAUGGUCUAAAUGCAGGAUUUGCACCCUAGGAUUCAAGGGAAAAGAACAUAUCUACCUGCAGCUCCUUGGUCUCUAUCGAAGAAAGAGAAAAAAAUUUUAUGUCUCUAUCGAAGAAAGAGAAAAAAAUUUUAUGUAGUCGUCUUGUUGAUUUCAAAGGACCAGAUGGAUACUGCUCAAACAUAGCAAGACUGAAAUCACAUGACUACCACGUAUUAAUGCAACAACUCCUUCCAGUUGCACUUAAAGGUUUGUUACCUAAAGGUCCACUUAAAGGUUUGUUACCUAAAGGUCCUAGGCUAGCAAUUUUACGCUUAUGUGCAUUCUACAACCAAUUGUGUCAGCGAGUAAUUGAUAUGGAGCAGAUUGUGGUAAUGGAAGCUGAGGUUGUAGUGAAUUCUUAAAGAAGUCUACAAACGUACAGGAAAAACUAGAUAGAAACACUGACUAUGAGAAUAGUUCUAUACUAGAGGGUCGUCCUAUAUCCGCAGCCACUUCCAUAACUCUCUCAGAAAUGGAUAAGAAAAUAGCUCAUCUUGCUGUCAUCCAAAAUAUGGCUGUCGUCGAACCUUAUAUCGAGUAAGUUCUAUACAGUUCUUGUUCUAUUAUUAUUUACAGUUUUAUGAUAAAGUAUCUGAUUAAGCUUCUUAUUAUUAAUAUUGUACAAGUGAGCACCUUCAGCAUCUACAAGACACCAAUGGAAGAUGCCGACGUGAUGCAUCAGUUUUAUGGGCUAUGCAUUCUGAGAAUUUUGCAUCUUGGUUAAAACAGCAGGCAAGUUACAUCAAAUCUACUAUUUUCUGUUGUUAUUUCAUGUUUUUAUGUGUAUGUGUCUGAUUUGUUAUAUUUAUUUCUCGUAGAUACCAAUUGAUUCAGACAGACAUGGAGAAGUUAUAAAAUGGUUGGCUUACGGUCCACGUUAUAUGGCACGGUCAUAUACAGGUUACAUAGUGAAUGGUCAACGGUUUCAUACAAGUUUAGUUGAUAGGAAAAAUCAGAAUAGUGGGGUUUUCUAUGAGGCAACAGCAGUCUGUAGGGCUAGUGCGAAAGAUACUUCACAAGUGGUUGAUUUGGUAUCUUACUACGGCAGAGUGAUAGACAUCAUACUAUUAGAUUAUAAUGUUUUUUAUGUUCCUCUCUUCCGGUGUCACUGGGCAGUAAUGGGUAAUGGAGCUAAGAUAGAAGAUGGUUUCACACUAGUUAACAUGAAUCAUAGUCAAGUCUCUUUUUUAAAAGAUCCAUAUAUAUUAGCAUUGCAAGCAAAGCAGGUGUUUUACUUAAGGGAAGACGCAGAAUCAAGUUGGCAUGUUGUUAUGCAAGUUCCUUCAAGAAGAUAUAAUAAAGAUUUGGAUGAUGGAAUUGCAGACAUUGGACCAUUACCAGCAAAUGUGGACAUGGAUGUUCACAUGGAUGAAUCUGAAAAUGCCCGAACUGAUUGUGAAGGCAUAUUUGUCUGAAAUGGAGUCUGUUUGUCAUUUACAUUGUUGUUGUUUUAUUUGCUAUGUCUGAUGACUACUUGGUAAUUAUUUUAUUUUUAGUUGUGUUUGUUUGGCAUUCACAUUCUUGUUUUAUUUGCUACGUCUGUUGACUGCUUGGUAAUUGUUUGAUUUGUAUUUGUGUUUCCAUUUGCUAUAUAUCUGAUGACUGCUUCGUAAUUGUUUAAUUAACCCUAUUUUCUUUCAUUUAUUUCAGGUGAGUUGACAUGGGACCAAAGAAAGUAACAAACCGUGGAGGGAGAAAAAAGAAGAAAGAUUCUGAAGAGCCAGAAUUCUUGGGUACAAUAAACCCGCCACAACCUGAUCAUAACUUACAACACAACCAGCGUCUAGAAGGAGUUCAGCCUUUAGAAGAGCAGGAUCAGCAUCCUUCAGAAGAGCAGCCUGUAGAAGCUCAGCCUUUAGAAGAGCAGGAUCAGCAUCCUUCAGAAGAGCAACCUGUAGAAGCUCAGUCUUUAGAAGAGCAGGCUCAGCAUCCUUCAGAAGAGCAGCCUGUAGAAGAUCAGCCAGGAGUUAAUGAUGGGACUGACGAGCACGAUCAUGUAGCUAAACCUACACGUAAGAGAAAGCGAGGACCAACAAGAUUGAGAGACAUCGCCAGGAAUCCAAAUAGCAGAUUAAAGGUUAACUUCACUUUCAUGGGAGAACAUUAUGGUCAUGGGUCUGUUAAGUUGUCAACGUAUCUUGGUAUAAUUGUGCGAGAACACGUUCCUGUAUCCAUUGAAAGUUGGCCAAAAGUCCCUCAGGAUAUGAAGACAAUGCUCUGGAUGUCUGUCAAGGUAAACUUUUCUGUAAUUUGACAUCUACUUACUUAAUCUUUCCAGGUUGAAAUGUUUUUUUCUUAAAACAUUGAUUGAUUGCAGUCAAGGUUUGAAGUAGAAGAAGAUUACCAAAAGAAAGCAUUGAUUGAACAGAUGGGAAAUUUGUGGAGGUCACACAAGUCACGAGUGGUUAGGGAAGUUAAUGAAGCUACGACUUUGAAAGAUAGGAUGGAUCUGCGACCUAAGAAUGUUACUGAAGCUGCUUGGCGUAAAUUUGUCAAGCUCAAAACUAGUCCUGAGUUUAAGGUAUUAUUUUCUGAAGUAAGUAAGCUUUAUGUUUGUUUAUGAAUAAUAUGACAUAUCUAUAAUCAUGUGUUAGGUUGUGAGUGAUAGCUAUAAGAAAAGGAAGAGCCUACAGAUUCCACACACUUGUAGUCGCAAAGGAAUGGUUAGACUAGCUGAAGACUUGGUACGCCAAAUGCUUUGGAUUAUUAAUUCUCAUCAGUUUAACAAGUAUUUUGAAUGAUCUAUUCUUUUAUUUGUUUAGAAAGAAGAGAGACGAGAGAAAUCAGAUCCUUCUGAUGUGACAAGAACUGAUGUGUGGGUGAGAUCGCGUACUAGAAUGGAUGGGACACCAGUGAAUACUGAUGCAGCUGAAAAAAUUGUAAGUUAUAAGUUAUGUACAUCGUGAAUUUGAUUUUCAGUAUAGAUUUAGAUUUUUGGAAUUGUUUUUGAUAUGUAACUAAAUUUGCAGAAAAAGGCAGCUGAACUUGUUAAUUCUGUUGAAACAAAUGAAGGACAAGAUACACUUGUCGAACUAUUAGGACCUGAUAAUCCCGGUCGAAUGAGGGCAAUGGGGAGAAAUAUGACUAAGACGAAAUUAGCUUGUUUCGAAGUUAAUCACAAGUGUAUGGUUAAAAUGGAAAAGAAACAAAUUCAUCUCCAGGACAAGGUUAAUGAGCUAGAAAUAAACUUGGUAAACUGCAGAACCAGGUAAUGCACUUUUGUAUUUUUUGUACAUUAAGCUGUUGGGUUGUAACAUAAAUUAAAAGUUAAUAUUUUUUCUGGCAUGUCACAGGGACAAGAAACUGAAGUUGGUGAAAACUCUAGAUCUGCUGCAGGGGUAAGUGAUUAAUAAUCCAUGAAAUUGAUUUCUUUAUAACUAUAAAGUCUGACUUGUUUUUUUCUACUCUGAAUCUGCAUAGAGUGUUAACAAAAAAGCACAACCAAAGUGUAUAUUGAUUGACUGGGCUGGUGAUGAUGCGAAUGUUGCUGAGGGACGUAUUAUAUCUACUGAUCCAGAGGAUGUUGUGAAUGGGACACGUUUAGGUCCUUUAGAUUAUAAAGUUUUGGUUGAGACUGCCACGGUACCAGAAGCAUUCCUUUGGAGAAAUGCUAUGGGAAUGUCAACAAUUGAAGAAUCUGUUGGGCAUAUGAUUGCAUGGCCUGCCACGAAGUGUGUUAGUCUAGAACAGGGGGUUCAGGAAGAAGACAUGGCACCACUAGUAAAGUUUCUAACUUGUUCAUUAAUUAAUAAGUUUAUACAGAUUGUUGAUGAUUUAAAAUUUUGACAUUGUUUUAUGCGUUUAACAGGGCACAAGAGCCAAUUCUUUGAACAAAUGCAAACUACUUGAUCUGUCUAACGAUGAUGUAGUUGUUGCUGAAGGCCGUUGGACCACGCAAGAUCGUAAAGCUUUGGUGAAUGGACUUUCACUCGGACCAAAGGCUGUAAAAGUGUUUGUUGAUGUGGUACAUGAAGCCAAUACAUUCAUAUGGAGGCCUACAAUGGAUGUUACAUACAUAGAAGACUGUUUAAUGUCCUUUGUAGCAUGGCCUUUCAACAAAGUUUUCUUCGAAAACAACCCAGAUGGAACAGGCCGGUUAUCUCCUAUUCAGAAUUAUGCAUCUACUCAAACAGCUCAUGGAAAAUCAGCAUCAUCAAGUCAAAAAUCCACAGCAACAGGUUCUAAAUCGCAACCAGCUCAUGGAAGAUCAGCAUCAGCAAGUAAAAAAUCCGCAGCAACAGGUUCUAAGUCGCAUAUGCAACCAAUCUCAGCAUCAUGUGAGAAGUCUCCAACAACAGUUCCAAAAUCUAAUGCAGUGGAAACUCAAACAGCUGCACCGUCCCGGCCUCUUCGAAGAUCUCCGGUAACUUAUUUUAUAUGUUCUAAAGUUGAUUAUGGUUCUGUCUCAUUUUACUGUAGUAAUUGGUUAAUAUGGUCAACUUGUCAGCGGAAAAAAGGAGCUAUACAGGAAAAUCAGAAGUGUAUGUUACUGGAUAUUAAAGAAAGGAAGCAAGUUGUUGCUGAAGGACGGGUGAUUUCAACUGAUCCAGAGAGACGUGUACACUGUGCUCCUUUGGGUCUUAAUGUUGCGCAAGUUUUGGUAGAUAUAGUCCAGGUAGAUGAUGCAGCGGUUUGGAGGACAUCAUAUGAGAUUGAGUAUAUGAAAGAUGCACUUGGUUCAUUUAUCGCAUGGCCAACUGAUAACUUGGUCAUGUAUUGACUAUCGUCCAACUGAGGUAAGUAUUUUUUAUUUUGAUGAUUGUGUUUUUGGUUUUUCAGGUGCAAAACUGAUAUAAGACAAUGUCCAUUAUUAAUUGCAGGGGAUGAAGCAACUUUGGUCCAGCUAGCUUAAUUUAGGUUAAGACUAGUCUUUAUGUAUUUUGGAUUCAGAAUGUUUAAUGUUUGGUAUGUUGGAUUUGGAAUUGUUUUUGGUAUGUUGGAUUCGGAAUUGUGUUUGGUAUGAUGCGGAAGUGUUUUAAGUAUGUUGGAAUGUUUUUGAGAUGUUAUAAAUGGUUUCAUUUUAAAUUUACAGGUUAUAUAUAUAUAUAUAUUACAUUUACAGGUUAUAUAUAUAUAUAUAUUACAUAUGAUAGCAUGUUAUAUUUUUAAAGAUGGCACUAUGAAAACAUGAAUUAACGCAACAAAUAUUUGCUAUUGUAUAGUGAUCUAUUAUAGCACCCAAUUUGAAUUAUCAAAAAAAAUUGAAAAAAUUCGUAAAUUGCUAUGAACAACUAAAUAAUGGCAAUAAAUUAUUGCUAUGAAAACGUAAAUAAUAACACUAACAAAGUGCUAUUGUAUAUGAACAUACUAUAGCAGACAAAAUUAAUGCUAUCGUAGGUGGGACAUCUACCAUAGCUGCCGAGAUCAUAGCAGUUGUUAUUUCGCUAUGUAUUACCUAUGAUAGCAUUUUUUCCGCGCUAAGAAUGUAAAUUUUUCUUGUAAUGUCAUCAAGGUGUAUAAUUACGUUAAAUUUUUAUUUAUGCAAUUUGGUGAUGCAAUUAAUUAGCUGUAACCUUAGCAUCCAUGUGGGAUGCAACUUCUUAAACUAUGGGGACUUUGGCACUGCCUUUUCUAACAUGAAGACAUGGUAAUGGUAAGCUCUUCUUGUUCAUUAUGGUAUAAUAAAUAGACUUCGUUUCGACAGUUACAAUUCCUCGAACCAGUCAGGCCAAUUAUAUUUGUGGGCUAGAAAAACAACCUUUUAGGAUCAUUUAGGUAGAAAUAAAUGUUCGGAUUUCAAAUGUGUUUUAAAAAUAAAUUAAUUUCUCCUUUUUGAAAUUUUUGGCCUAAUUUCUAGUUGAAAAUCAAUGGAAGUUAAAAAUAUUUGGAUCUAUUUAAAAAAAAAAUUAAAUUCGUAAAAAUAAAUCUAAAAUAUUUAAACUUCGGGUCUAUUUUUAGCUAGUUAAAGUUUUAAGUGAACUUUGUACAAAAUAUAAAAUUAUUAAUUAGUCAUGAGCCUAUGAAUCCUUUCAUUUCUACCAUAUCCAUUUGACCAGACUUGUUUUGAAUCAAAUUGCAACGGCUCCUUGACCUCUUGAUUCAUCUGUGUCUAAAGCAAAAACAAGUAAAAGUUGAGUUUUUAAUGUUGUUUGUAUUAACGGUGUAAACGUCCUCUUUUUUCCUUUAAAAUUGUCCGCGUGUAGUUAUCUAUAGAUUAUUUCACUAGAUAAUCUGUACUCUCGCAAUGGUUUAUUAGAUACGUAAAGAAUGUUGAAACUCCAAAAUCCGAAAGUUUCAUAGUAUAUUUUCAACAAAGAACACUUAGAACCAUAUUCGAACUACGUCUCACAAGGUUCCUUGGCACAAGGGAGUAUGAUUUGCUCAUGCAAUACCGAAACACACUCCUUUUGUAUGUGGCUAGUGAUUCAAGACAGGCUAUCAACCGGAGAUCGUAUGAUGAAGUGGAAUGGGAGUGCCUCGGGUAACAGCGUUCUUUGUACGAACAACAUAGAGAUUCGCGAUUAUUUGUUUUUCUCCUAUAAUUAUGCUAUUGAAAUUUGGGCUGGUCUUGCCAAGGGUCUGUGGAAGACACAGUUUACGUCGAACUGGUCCCAGAUAAUUGGUCACGUCUCGGAUCAAACUCAAAACCGUGUAGAAGGGUUUAUACUGCGGUAUAUUGAAUUAAGGCUUUGAUCAAGAACACCAAACUUAAGAAUAACUCUCUCUUUUAUUAAGCUUUAGAAAUUACUCAAACUAAAACUCAAUCUCAUAAGUUGUAUCACACCUUGAUACCUCCUUAUAUAACAAAAGCUAUUGACCUAAUCCUAACUCAAUUAGGAAUUGUAUUAGAUAACUCCUAAUACAUUUAUUUUAGAUAACUCCUAGAAUAUUUAGCUUUAUCUCUUUUACAUUUUAGUAACUUAUCUCUUAAGUUAUUUCAAGUUUAUCACAACACGGUAUGUCUUCUAACCCACUAUCUAUACUGUUUGGAGAGGGAGGAAUGAGCGACAACAUGGACAAACACCAAAAACUUCAACAAGACUGAUAGGAUGGAUUGACAAACAGGUUUGCAAUCAACUCACUACUAUUCGACGUUUGGGAAAUUGAUGAUACGACAUGGCCUUUCAAGUCUGGCUCCAUGCACGAGCGUGAAUCUUUUUUACCCUCAUGAACAUUUUAAAAUUUUGAAAGUAGCUAUAGUUUUCUAAAUUUUUUUCGAUAAACUAUUGCACUUGUAAAAACGUUAUUCUUUUUUUAAAUAUAAUUUAACAUUACAUUGAUAAAAAAAAAAAAGAUAGUCUCAUAGCAUAAACAAGUCGGGUACAAAUGAGCAGUUCCAAAACAUGAUUGUUGGAAAUUUACGUUUGAUAUGAAAAAGACUCAUAAUUUUUUAAAAAUCUAAUUACAAAAGUUUUUUUUUCAUAUUUGUAAUGAGCAAUAACCAUAUAUCUUCCCUAUCUCUGAUCACUCUUUUUUUUUUUUUUUUUGUCAUAAGAGUGUUAUCUUUAUAUAUAAGCCAGUACAAACCAAGCCAGUACAAAGGUGAACAAAGCCACCAUGAGCAACAGUCGUUACUACAGAUAUGAUUACCAAAAACAAACUUGACAAUCAUUAACACAGGUUAAACAUGUAGCAUAAACUGAAGUAGUCUAAAACAGAAUCCAAAAAGUGUUUUAAUCUGUUCUAGAACAUUAUUCAACUAACAACUAAAUUAAACCUGUAAUGGUAGUUACAGGGACCCAAAAAGUGAUGACAGAAGUUUGUAUAGCAAUUUAUCUUUUUUUAGGAGGCUUCAGAAUUCCUCCUUUCUCAUCUUCCUGUAGCUUUUUCUUUUGUUGCCUAUCAUCAUCUCUGUUAUUGAAGUGGGAAUUGGUACGUUUUGACGAUUCACCAACCUCAAAGUAUCGAGGCAUUCUGGAAUUGAUUCCUUCAUCAAUACUUGGUGAAGUCGUGGAUCCAGUGGAAGAAUGUCUUCUCCAAGUGGCUGUGUGAGUGGUUGAAGUUGCCAUAUGUUGAAGAUUUCCUAAGCUUGAUACUGGGAAUUGAGGAUAGGCUGCUGCAAAUUCAUCAGGGUUUAAAGGUGGAGAAUCUAACCUUGGUGGUGGAGUCAAAGGAGUUGGAAAAGUGUCAUCCGAGUUCUGAGAGUGAGAGUUAUGAUUGGAGUGAAUUUCCUGACCAUGAGUCCUUCUCCUAUUGUAGACUGGUACAUCAAUAACUUCAGGACUAUUUCUUGGAGUGUGAGGAAAAUGAUUGUAAGGACAGUGGCUGCUUUGAUGAGUGAGUUGAAGACAACGACUGCAAAUCCUUCUCAGGCUCUCAUAUUGAAAGCUAAUCAUAGCCCUUUCUCUAGAUUCAAAGCAGACCCUUCUAAAGAACCUCAAACUAUCAGUGAUGCCAAUGCGAAUUCUAACUCUGAUAGAAGUUAUAUCAGUAGUGAUCUCAUCAUGAAAAUCUAGAUAGAUAACCUGUCCUAUGGUUGCAGCAAUAAACCUGGCUGUUCCUUCAGAAAAACAUAUGGUAGUGGUAUUCCGCGGAUUUGAACCCAUAGAUCAAGGGUAGUGAGGAAAUAAACAUCGGGGAAGUCUUCCCAGCGUUGAGAUGCGAUGAACCAAUUGUUAAAAACCCAUGGAGCACGACGUUGAACUGAUACUAAAUCUGCUUCAGAUUGAAAUAAAAACUGGAUGUAAGUAUCACUUAGAACUCUACCAUGUAUUCGUGAAGCCAGUCCCCAGAGUCUUGGUAGUGAUGCAACAACAGUAUGUAAGUUUUGAGCUCUGUUGUUGAGAGGCCGAGCAAGAAGGCUAAGACGAUUCCUUCUUGAAAGUGAAGGCUCCCAAGUAAGGCUAAUUCUCAAAUUCUUCCAUCCUUUCUGACUCAAACAGAGAUUGAAGCCAACUAGGAGAACCUGUUGCCACAUAAGAUUGAAAACGAUUGUCUUGUAUUACACUAAGAGCAAUGAGAGAAGCCCCUUUGUUUGAAACAGAUUCAGCUUUUUCAAUUUGCCAGUUCUGAAUAGGCUCUAUCCGUUUGUUGAUUUCUGUAGCAAAGUAUUGCAUAGAGAGCCAUUCUUUAGGUUUGAUGACAGCGUUGACCAUGUCAAUAGCUUCAGAGGCAAAAAUCACAAAGUUGAUUUUGUGACUAAUCAUGUUAUCUAUAGCCCACACUAUACUUUGAAAUUUUGCUUCCAUCAGAGAAUGAAUGUUAGAGAAUGAUCGUCUGCUGUGUAAUAAAACUUUACCUUUAUCAUCUCGUAACACCCAUGAGAAACCACCAAUGCUGCUUUGUCUUGACCAAGCCAUACCUAUGUUGCAUUUUAACCAUGGUGCAGGAGGCUUCAUCCAAGUCUUUAUAAUCUUUCCUCUGUCAAAGAUUCUUGAAGUAGCAUAUAUUGUUUCAAUGGAAUGAGCAAUAAACCAUUGGUUUGCUUCCUCUUUAAUUUUCAACACUAGAUCUGUAAGCACAAUUUGCUUCCCUUCAAAGAGAAAACCAUUUCUGUUUUUCCAUAAAUACCAAAGAAUCCACGGGAAGCUCCUUCUUAUAGAUGCUGAUACUUCUUGAUUCUGAGCCAGAGAAAGUAAAUAUUGGAGAUUGGCAAAUUCUGAGUGAGAUUCAAAACCACCUGGUGGACAAGGAAAAUCAUAGAUAGCCCAGACUUGACGCGCAAUUGAACACGAGAACAAUACAUGAUUAGUAGAUUCUGUUUCCCAACCACAGAAUUGACAUCGUGUAUCACUACUCAUUCCUCUGAUUUCCAACUUAUCACCGACAGCAAUAGCCCCACUUAGGGCUCUCCAAAUAAAACAUUUAAUUUUUGGAGAAGUCUGUAAUGACCAGACCUGAGUUUUUAAGUCGUUUAAUGAAGGACGCAUCUCAGCAGCUUCAAUGAGAUCAGAGUUAUGAAGUCUAUUGGCUAACAAGUAGCCUGAUUUAACUGAGUACUCACCACUUCUAUUAUGCAGCCAACACCAAAAAUCAUCUUUUGAAGUCACUGGUUUAUUGAUCAGAAUUAGAUUCACAUCCCUGGGGUAGAAUAACUCCUGCAGUUUUUCCAUGUUCCAGGCUCUAUUUUGAAAAUCAAUUAAGGCUGAAACUCGAAGAUUUAAAUCCACAAAGAUAUUUCGCAUGAACGGAACUCUCAUUCCAUUAUCAAAAAUCCAUGGAUCAAUCCAGAUAAGAGAAGAAUUACCAUUACCAAUCAUCUUGCGGAGACCUUGUAGUAGCAAUUGACGUCCAUGUAAAAUACUUCUCCAAAUAAAUGAAGGCCUGGAACCCAAAGUUGCGUAGAGAAUUUCAUUAUCUUCGAAAUAUCUGCUUUUCAUAACUCUAGCAAAAAGACUUGAAGGAUGUUGCAAAAUUCUCCAAACUUGUUUUGCUAACAAGGCUUGAUUAAAGCACUGUAUAUCCCUGAAACCUAAUCCACCUUGAUCCUUAGAUAAGCACAGUUUACCCCAGCUUAACCAAUGAGUUUUCUUUUUAUGUUCCAGAGAAUUCCACCAGAAAUUGGACAUGGCAGCAGUAAGUUUUUCGCAAGUUGUUUUUGGUAAUUUAAAACAAGUCAUGGCAUAUACUGGAAGAGCCAUUGCAAUUGCUUUAAGAAGAACUUCUUUACCUCCAAGCGACAAGGUGCGUUCAAACCAGCCAGAUAACUUAGACUUUAAUCUAUCAUAGAUAUAGUCCAGAAGUUGUACUUUUGAUCCACUAAAACAUUCAGGGAGACCAAGAUAUGUACCUGUUCCUCCUUCUUUGUGAAUGCAUGUCAAGUGUUUGAUUGAAUUCUGCACCUGAAGGUUGACUUUGGAACCAAAAGUGAUUGAAGAUUUGUUUAUAUUAACCCUCUGGCCUGUCAUAUCUCCAUAAGAAUCCAAGAUAUGUUGAAGAGAAGUUGCUUGAUCCUCAGAGGCUUUACAACUAAAGAGGCUAUCGUCAGCAAAAAGGAGGUGGUGAAUUGCUGGACCUGAUGGAGAAAAUUGAAUUCCUUGAAUAGCACCUGAUCUUUCAGCCCGAUUCAACAUAUGAGAUAAUCCUUCAGUACAUAAGACAAAGAGAAAUGGAGAAAUAGGAUCUCCUUGCCGCAGUCCUCUUUGUGGUACUAUCAUACCAAAUGGUUGAUCAUUAAUCACUAUGGAGUAAGUGACAGAAGAAACACAAAACAUUACCCAACCAAUCCAUUUUUGAUGAAAGCCUAAAGCAGCUAGUAAACCUUGAAGGUAACUCCAUUCUAACCUGUCAAAAGCUUUAGACAUAUCAGUCUUAAUGGCCAUAUAUUCCUGAGAUAUAACCGGAUGCGUUCUGAGAGCAUGAAUCAUUUCAUGAGCAAUUGAAAUAUUAUCAGAAAUAAGACGUUCUGAGACAAAGGCAGAUUGAGUAGGCGAGAUAAGCAAGGGUAACAGUGGCUGCAAUCUGGAGGCCAUAAUCUUGGAGAUAAUCUUGUACAAAACAGAGCAUAGACUAAUCGGUCUAAGGUCAAACAUUUGAGUAGGAUUGGGAAUUUUGGGAAUAAGACAUAGAUGAGUAUAGUUCCAUUCUGUUGGAAAUGAACCAGAGGUGAAAAAUUCCUUAACUUCCAUGGUGACUUGAUGACCAAUUAUCUCCCAAUAUUUUUGAAAGAAGAGACCUGUCAUUCCAUCAGAACCUGGAGCACUUGAAGGAUUGAUCGCAAAGACAGCCAUUUUAAUUUCUUCUGAAGACACAGGACGUAUCAAAGAUUCAUUCAUAUCCUGAGUGACUUUAGCUUGAAAAUCAUGAAAAAGCCAAUCAAAGUUCCCUGGAUGAGAAGUCUUGAAUAGAUCUGUGAAAUAAGCUGCAGCAAUUUCGCCUUUGGAAGCUUCAGAAGUUUGAGUAUUCCCAUUGUGAUCUUGAAGAGCCUCAAUUCUUUUCCUAGAUCUGUUUGCUUGAACGGAUGCGUAAAAAAACUUAGUGCUAGAAUCUCCUUCUAGCAUCCACUUUUCACGACUUCUUUGGCUCCAAAACGACUCCUCUUCUCUAUAUGCCACAAUCAACUGAUUCUUUAAACCCAUAAUAUGUAUCAUUGAAGGAUAAUUAGAAGAUUGUUCACUCUCCAAAGCCAUCUUGAGCUGAUUGAUUUUAUCCAGGGAAUUAAGGCAAUUAGCUCUCUUCCAUUUGCUGAGAGCGUUACGACAACCUCUAAGUUUAUCAGAAACAGAAGAGGAUUGUAGUGGAUAAACAUUUGACCAGGCUGUAAGAAUGGCUUCCUUUACCAGAGGCUUGUUGAGAAAUCUUUUAUCAAAUCGAAAGUUACCCUUGUAAGAUUGAUUGGAAGUUGAAAACUUGACCAGAACUGGGCGAUGAUCAGAUCCUCUUUUGUCAAGGAAGAUCUGAUUAGAUGCUGGAAAUUGACGAAACCAGUUUUUGUUACCAAAGCAUCGAUCUAACUUACUCUGAAUCCACAACUGACUUCUCAUUCCUCCCCAAGAAAAACUAUUACCAGAAGAUGGUAAUUCAUCCAUUCCACAUGUUCUGAUCAUAUCAGCAAAGUCUUUAAAUGUAGCUUCACUCCUCUUUGGACCACCUAGUUUUCUCCAUUGUGCAAGAUUUCAUUAAAAUCUCCUAUCANNNNNNNNNNNNNNNNNNNNNNNNNNNNNNNNNNNNNNNNNNNNNNNNNNNNNNNNNNNNNNNNNNNNNNNNNNNNNNNNNNNNNNNNNNNNNNNNNNNNCGCAUGGUCGGGCUGAGACACACGCACCUGCUCGUCGGCAAGAAGCAUUUCUAGUUUUACACCUAAAUCCAGUAGAUGCGAACCCUCCAAAGACUCAGAAUCUUCACCCGAACGUACUUAAGCGUCCUACCUCGAGAAAGAUUAGAAAGGUAGAUUUGCUCGGACAUCUUUGAACGAAAGCACCGCCCAAGACCCUUCAGUUUUCUAUUAGGAAUCAGAGAGAGAUAGAAAAUCUCGAAAUAAAUGAAACAAUUGUUUACAGUGCACAUACACGGUGGAAAUUGAAAUAAGCAGUCAUAGCCACAAAUUUUUAAAUUUAAAAAAUAUCUUUUUCCUAAUAACUAUUUAAAACAUAAGAACAGCAACAAAAUAAUAUUAAUAACUAUGUGAAUCUCUAGAUUAUACACAAAACAAACUCACACCAUAUUAAGAUAGAUAACGCCAAUAAGAAUAAUUAGAACCAUCGCUAAUAUGAUAUAAUGAGUUAGAUCGACAUAAAUUUUUAAAACAGAAUAUUAAUCAUUAACUAAAUAAAAUAUAUAGAAGCCAAAUAAAUAGCAACAAAUUCAAAUAAAAUAAUUACUCAUCAUCAGAGUCUUCAAAUAUAGGCCCCGAUCCAAAAUUUGGUACGGUUUGAUCAAUACCAAACACCAAAGGAUAUGAUCCGUAUCUAUCAACAGAUACAUCACUACCCUUAGCAAUAUAACUAAACAACAAAUAGAUACUGCUGUAACUCCUAGCUUUGCUUCCAAUCUCAGUCCUCUACAUCAAAAAAAAAAAAAAAAAAAAAAAACCCCAAAAAUAAGUAGACAAUAGAAAACAAACAAAUAAUUUAGAAAACACGAAGACAUCUAUAAUAAUAGGACAUAGGAUCUAACAAAUACGUAAACUACACACAACAUACCUCUUUCAAAAUAUUCGGUCGCAAUGAAUACUUCAGCCAACUCAAAACCUUUACAAACAAACAAAACAAUUAAAAUCAUACCUUAUAGAAUGGUAAGAUAUUCUGAUGUCUAUAUAUACAAGUCAUGACACAUAAGACAAUAAGAGAACAAACAUACAUGCUUACAAAAGCCCACGCGAUCCGUAAAACACGACGGAGCAACAACUCUUCUACGCCAAUCCCGUGUGGUCUAAAACAUCAGAGAAACAAAUAUAUAAAUUAAACAUAAAACGAUUAUUACGUUACAUAAUAAAUACACAAGAUUCGACAAAAUACCUUAUUAAAAUAAAACAUAUCAUUCGUGCAUCUUCGGGAGAAGGAAACACCAGCGGUUACCUAAGCCAACGGUACGAAAUAAGAAUAACCCGUAACAUUUGAUUAUCGCGAAAUAUAUAUACAAAAAACAAAAGCCAAAUCAUCAUUUAAAAGUUAGAAAAUUAAUAUCAAACUAAAACCGAUCCACAAUAACCAACAUAUUAGAUACAAAUAAGAGAAAUACCUGUUUCCAAUAAACCGACACAAACCGAGAUAUGAGUUCAUCGAGUACCUUCAAAAUCACGGUAAGAUGAAAAUCAAACAAUAAGAUGUCAAACCUUGUACAUAAACUCAAAACUAUUUGACAAUUUAAUUAUAAAUCAAUACUAAAAAAUAAAACGCAAUAAAAUCGCAUAUAAAAGUAUAUACGAUAACAGGAAGAAACACAUAAAUGUAUAUGGGUAAAUAAAUAUAAAAAUAUACAAAUUAAAACUAUAGAAGUACCUCCCCAAACCUCGCUCUUUGCUCGUCAACACCACCUUCGUCAGAAAGCUUUGUCGAUGGAACCUCCCACGUUAUACAAAACUGAAACACACACCAAAAACAACAAAUUAGCAAAACAAUAAAUCAUCGAAUAAUGCAAAAAAAUAAAACAAACAACACAAACAAUAUGCACACGACCUUUAAAGGUCCAUAAAAACAAUAUUUGCAUGACAAACAACUCGAUUCAUCAGAAUCGUAGUAGCUAUAUAAAAAAACCAUAACGGUGAAAACUAUCUAAUGGCCACAGAAAAAUAAUACCUAAUCCUCUGGCCGAUCAACAAUAUAUAUAGCUUUAAGAUUAGGGCAAACACCAAUCAUUAUCUUAAGAAAUUUUACUUUUUAAUUAGAAACAAAAUCAGAAAACUAACAAAAACGAAUUUUAACUGCUAAAUUAUAGAAUUAUCCAAAAAAUUAACAAAUAAAUUUAAGCUAAGAUUCCAUAAUCAUUAAAGUCGAGAUAUUAUGACCUCCAUAUCCCCAGCGAUCAUACUAUAAAAUAAAAAAAAUUAAGGGUGAUUAAGACUAAUCAUCACAAAACACGAUUAGACUUAUAUACCCUUAACAACUAAGAACAAAAAUUUUCGAAUUAAGGGUGUUUAGGACAUUAUAAUAGAGAUCAACACACGAUUAGACUUAUAUACCCCUAAUUACGAAGAAGGAGAAAUUUCGAGAAGAACAAUUCAUUAAGGGUGUUUAGGACAAAUCAUUCUAACUUUUAACCACAGGCCUCCAAUGCCCUAACUUUCAAUAUGGUGCGUUUCUACUUCUCAAAUAAUUAUUGUAGAGAUAGUGGCCACCAAAAUAGGUUAUAAAUUAUAUAGCACCAUUUCAAAAAUACCAAACAGAAAGAAUUCCAAAACCAGAUCUAAGUGCAACUACACAAAAGAAAAAUAAACCAAAAAAAGCAACUACUUUUGUUUUAAACAACUUCUAAAAUAAAACACCAACACAUCUGUAACAACAACAUAAGAACAUAGCACCAACAAUCAGAUUGAGUUAAUCUUUCUUUUUUUUUUCCCAAAAUAUCUUGCACCAGUCCUCUGUUUUCUACCGUAUGAAGUUUCUUAAUCUGUAUGUCUGAAAAGAUAUGUGUAGCAUACGAAUGGCCUCUCUGUAAUACUCCCAAGAUUCACUUGCAACCGUAAUAGCUUCUUGCCCGAAAGGGUUGUUCUUGAUGAAAUCUUGAACGUUUUCAGCUUCUACCAACUUCUCUAGAUGAAGUCUCAGAUCACCACCAUUACCUGAAUUCCAUUGAAGCAGCAUAAGUAUAAAUAGGGCAGAAGAUUUUCAAGACACAGAACAAAAAUGGUGAUGCUUCCUAUUCACUUAACCGUUAACAAAACCGCAAACUAGAAACCAAACUUAUAGCUGAAUCAGAUGUUUACCUAAGGAUGUGUCAGUUUUGUUCUGAUGGUUGUAUGAAUGAGGGAAUAUUGCUGUAUAUGGCUGUGACAUUCAGAUGGUUUAUUCAAAACGUUAAAAACAUCGAUAAGGCAAAAGAAUCGAUGUAUAAAUGACUCGAAGAAGAUGUGAGGACAUCACAAAAUAGCUUACCGGGUUAAGCAAAGCCUUGUAAGGAGAAUCAUCAAGCAAAACCGUGUUGGUUUCGUUGUAAUCACCCAUUUUCCAAGGAAGUCUUGGGUCAUGUUUCUCCCAGAGCCGGUUUAGAUCCUUGAACACCACAUAUUUAUGCCUAUUUUCAAGGGAACCAACAGUCGUUGUAGCACAAUAAGACAUGUCCUGUAAAAAUUAAAUCCCCGAAAAAUCGAUGAAAAUUCAAUAUUUACUCGUUUCAAAAACAGGAGAGUGCAUGGCAAGAACCAACUUACCCAGCAAAACAAAAGUUUAUUCUUCAAAUCACCAAGCAAGAACUCAGUGAUUCUUACAACAUUAUUCCUGCAAGCAAAUAAAAGUCAUAUCGAUUAUACACACAGAUAUGGAAGUAACAAUUAUAUGAUCUUAUAAAUAUGAGUAACGUCUUACUGUUUUCUCGAUGACCAGAUACCAACUUCAAAUUUGUCAAAACAGAACUUCAAAAACUCAUCACAAUAAGGUCUCUUAAAAACUGUCACAAAAAAAAAAAUGCAGACUAAUAAGUAAAACUAUCAACUAAAGUAUUAAUGUGGACUCACAAGUAAGUAACAAUGAACAAAAAGAUAAUGAAACUCACUUGCUCUUCUUCCAAUAUUAAUGUCCGCUGGAACAUCUUUUAGAGGAGUAACUAUAUCAGCAAGCAACCCAUUAAGAUCAAGUACAAGAAGUUUUUUCUUUAAGACCGAUGAAUUUGAUCCGCUCUCGCCUCUGAUUCCACUCAAAGCAACACAAGAAUCGUUGUUCACUACCACGGGAACUUCAUCACUUCUUGUACCACCCGAUAUAACAGAAGCUUCUUUAUUCUUUUCCACCUCUAAAACUGGAAGCUUUCCUAUAGUUUCACCACCCGAAACAACAUCUUUUCGAUCUGCCAAACUCAAUACGGAAACUUCUUCUAUCUUUCUCUCAUUCGAUUCAACUUCGCCAUUCUUGCGGCUUCCAUCGCCUGAUGCAACAGGAGUCUCAGUCUUCUCUUCAACAUCUAACAAAGAAACUUGUUCAUUCCCAUCAACCGCUGUUUCGUUUAGCGACAACAUUGGAAGCUCGUAACAAUUCUCUACCUUAUCAAUCACUCUAGCUUUCUUAAUCAGAGGUUCCUCUUCAACAGAAUGUUCAAUUGCUCUCAUACUAAACCCCAAAAACUCAGAAUUUGCAUCACUAAAUUACUUCAACCUAAAACUGUGUAACAAAUUCAAAGAGAAGAAAAUCAAGAACAGAGUAAACUUAUUCAGAAUUCAUAAAAAUAAAUAAACCUUUUGAUUUAAACAUUAAACAACUUGAUUAAUUGAAGAUAAUGCAAUGUUAAAACCACAAUUCACCUUUAAUGAUUAAUAAUCUAAGACUUUGCAAUAACAAUUUUCGUACAUGAAUGUCUGUAUCAUUACACAAUUGAUCGAUCUGGAUUUGGUUGAGUUAAUUCCGUACAAAUUCUCCGAUCAAAAAGGAACAAUUACAGUAAAAAAACUUACCGAUGAAUUUGGAGAGGAAGAACAAAAGUCGGAGACAGAGAGAACUCAAAAGUUGACCUUUUCCCAGAGAAUUUGGAGUGGGAGAGAAUUUAAGGAUCUGAGAGCAUAUGAAACGACAGGUUUUUGAUGUCGUUUGGUGUUCCCAAGGAUUUUUUGCAGAGAGACAAAGUGGCUUUAGACGUGACUUUGUGGGAUCUUUAGAUCUCGUGAUGUAAAUUUCAGGUCGGGUCGGAUCUUCGGAGCUGGGUUUAGUUAAUUUAAUUUAAUGAGCAAUGCUAAUGAAUUAUAAUGUCAAUUGAACAUACAUUUUUUAUUUUUCACUAGAACAUGGAAGUUUUAUUAGAACUGAAACCAGAAAUUACACACGCCGGCAAAGUUCGAGAUGACACUUUCCGGAUACAAAGCCGGCAAAGCUCAAGAAGACACUUUCUGGACACAAAGCCGGCAAAGCUCGAGAUGACACUUUUCGGACACAAAGCCGGCAAGAUACGAAACCUUCCGGAACCAAAGCCCCACACACAGGAAAACAUUAGACCCAAAAAGGGCACGGUCAUAGACCCACAAAGGGCACAACGAUAAAAGAUAAAAACUAAUUAUACAAUCUGAACAAAGGAGCUAAACAAACAAAUCCACAAAUUGUUUCAGAUUUCUUCUUUUUGCCAAUUGAAUCCGAGAUCGGAAGCUAUCUUCUAGUCUUCUUUCUUCACCUGAAGCUAUCUUCUGGUCUUCUUUCCUCACCUGAUAAUAUAAAGACUUCAAAAUUUAAAAUUUUGAGCAUCCUUAAGUCGGCAAAACGGUGAAACCUCACUAGAGGCUUGACAACACCGUAUAUGGAAGCCUGGGCCGGAAUAAUCGAGCAAAGCGACAUAGAUCCAGUAAGAGGAGCCAAGAACUGAUCAGAUCUCGUCCAGAUCUGAGAGUUAGUUCGAGUGGAGGAGACUUAAAAUUAGGCCGCCCAAAACCGAUUCACCACCCACUGCAAGAACCAAGGAUGGCUACGGGUCGACACGGUUAGAGCCAUGGAAACUUUUGACGCUUGGGAGAAGAAGAGACAAUAGUAAAAACGAAAGCUCUCUAAAUUCAGAUCUAAAACUAAAACAAACUGAAGCCGGACAAAACGAAAAUAAGCUGGAGACAAAAGCAAGACAAAAAGCCGAUUCCGACGCUGUGAAAGCCGCCCAAAGCCGGAGAUCUUAACGAAGAAAGCUUAGAGAGAAGGCACAUAAAAUUUUAAAAAAAGAGAAAGUAAAUUGAUUAGUUUGUUUGGUUUAGCUUAAUUGAAUUGAACAUACAUUAUGUAUCAAAUAAUUAAUAGGAAUAUUUUUGUUUAUUCAAAAAUAAUUGGAAUUUAUAUGAACUAAGCCUUUAAAUAUCUAAAAAUUAUUGAAUAAAAUAGAAAAUUUAUGUUUUAGAUUAAGGUGUUCAAUCCGGUUUUGUUUUUGAUUAUUCGAUCUCUCGAUUUUUCGGUCUAUAAGUAAAGGUAUCCAAAAAUACAUGGUUGAAUUUUUAUAUAAUAUUUUGCAAUGAUAUUUAUAUGAAUGUGAUUUACUUCGAUACAAGUUUUCU